GGGGCUUUGAGAUUUUCUCCCAAAGAGAACGUUUGAGAUUUUCUCGGGAAAAUUUUGUUUCCGAAUUUUCUCGGGAAAAUUUUUGAUAGGGGCCUAGGAAUUGAAUCAAGGAUCGAGGCUAGGGUUUGAAUUGGUCGAAUAUGUUGAUCAGGAAUGCGAAUCACUGAGAAUUGCAGCUCCGAUCUUGAAGUCAGUGUUGGAAUCGAGGGUUUGAAGCUAUGGAUGUAGAUUCUUCAAUGGUGCCGGAGACCGAUCAGGAUCCGUCGACGCCGAACCACGGCGCUCCUUCGAUCUCGGCUUCGAUGGAGCGGGAGCAGCAGCUAGGCGCUGCGGAGCAGUCGGCUCCGGCCCAACCUCCGGCGCAGCAGCAACAGCAGCAGCAGCAGCAGGCUCAGGUGCAGCAGAGUCCUGUGGCUGGGCCGAGGCACGCUCCGACGUACUCGGUCGUGAACGCGGUGAUAGAGAAGAAAGAGGACGGCCCGGGGCCAAGGUGCGGCCACACUUUGACGGCGGUUGCGGCGGUAGGAGAAGAAGGGACGCCGGGCUACAUUGGGCCGAGGUUGAUUUUGUUUGGUGGUGCCACGGCUCUUGAGGGCAAUUCCGCGGCUUCUGGGACGCCUUCAUCUGCGGGAAGCGCUGGCAUCCGUAUGUCUCUUGUUUGGUCCUUGUUUAUUGGUUUCAUUAGUUUUUUUUACAGGUGCAAGGACCCUAGAUUUGUUGAAGGUUAAGUAAUUCAUACUGCAUAUGGUAAUUGUUCUUUAGUACGGAAAACCCUAAUCUUUAAGUUGUUUUGAAAUUUAGGUAACUCAAGAAGCAUAGGAAAGCUAGGUUUGUCAUAGACAAGCUGCAUAUUUUGUUUUUUUAGCUAAUGUUAGUACGGAAUACCUUAAAUAUUUUUUAAUUAUUUUCAUAACUUCUAUAUGUAACGGCUAUAGAUUUGUUGAAGCCAGACUGAUUGGAGUGGCAUACUUCGGUUGUUUUCAUAGCCAAGAGCCCUGAUUUUGUUACUUUUCUUUUAAAACAAUAAACACGGGAACCCUUGUUUAAUUGGAGUUCCCGUGAUUCAUUCAAAGUAUUCUGGUUCUUUAGUUAGUCCUAAUGAUGAAUAAAAGACUCAUUUUGAUCAUUCUAUUCUUAUUAAGGUGUGAGAACCUUAGUUUUGUAAUUGUUUUUAACUCCAAGUAAUUCAAUUGGCAUAUGGCCCCUUUUCUGUUGAAUCCAAUGAUUUUCACAAUCUGCAUAUUGUGGCUGUUUUAUUCUUGUUUAUGGUAAUGCAAGCAACCCCAGUUUUCUAAUUGUUUUAAACUCAAUUGAUUCUAAUGGCAUAUGGUUACAUUUAGGGUGCAAAGUAUACUAAUUCUUUUUGAGUCAAAUAAUUCGAGUGGCAUAGUUUUGUUUCUUAUGCUGUUUUUAUUUGUGCAAGGAUCCCCAUUUUGUUGAAUGAGCUGCUCUUGGUGGGAGCAUAUCCCAUUCUAUGGAAAUUUGCUUGUGUGUCAUCAUUUUCCAGCUAGUCCAGAUGUAUUUAGUAGAUAGCAUAGAAAGGAUAUUUGAUGUUAAAGUUUAUAAGUAGAGGAGUUCUGUGUGGAAUUUCACAAUGAUGAUGUUUCAUGUUUCAUGUUGAGGCACUUAUGACAGUUAAAGUUGUACUUUGUUUGCAGGAUUAGCAGGUGCCACAGCCGAUGUGCACUGUUAUGAUGUGAUAACAAAUAAGUGGUCUAGGUAAGCCUGAAACUUACGAUCACUUAUAUUUGAUGCUCAUAGCUAUGUUUAAUUCUAGGUCUUCACGUAUAUUGAUUGCUAUGCUCUACCCUGGAAUGUUUGUACUGGCUUCAAUGCUUUUAAUGAAAUUUUUUUCAGGAUCACUCCCUUUGGAGAACCGCCCACUCCUAGGGCAGCACAUGUGGCAACUGCUGUGGGAACUAUGGUAGUUAUUCAGGUUGUCAUACUCAUCAAUGCCUGAUAAAUUCAUAUUAUUGCUAUUUUAUGGAAUAUUCCUUUUUAUCUUCAUUUGGAUUAAUUAUUAACUACUGACUGGAGACCUUUAAUUCAACAAAGGGUGGGAUUGGUCCAGCUGGUUUAUCUGCUGAAGAUCUUCAUGUUCUUGACCUCACACAGCAGCGGCCUCGAUGGCACAGGUUAGACUCCUGAAGGAUGUGCUUCACAUUUCUUUGAUAAUUUGUUGUGUUAGUUGUUCAUUAAAACCAGAAUGCUAAUUUUUCUGUAGGGUUGUGGUUCAAGGCCCUGGGCCGGGCCCUCGUUAUGGACAUGUCAUGGCUUUGGUGGGGCAAAGAUAUCUUAUGGCAAUUGGUGGAAAUGAUGGUGGGUUGCUUCCUGUUAUAGCAUUUCAUUCUUUUAUCUUGUGUGUGUUGAAGAAAAUUUGCACUUUGAGGUUUUUGUCAAAUGUAAAAUUAAAAUACUUUGUACCAUGAUUUAUAGGGAAGAGGCCUUUGGCCGAUGUUUGGGCUCUCGAUACAGCCGCAAAGCCUUAUGAAUGGCGGAAGUUGGAACCAGAAGGGGAGGGUCCACCUCCGUGCAUGUAACUUUUCCGCCUCUCAUCAUCAAAUCUUUAAUUUUCAUCAUUUUUAAUGAAUUAUAUAAUUUUAACUUUUUAGCUCACAAUAAAUACUUGUUUUGUGUUACAUGAAUUUAAUUGCUAAAAGCAUUCAUGAACGGUAUGUUUUUGGACUUGUCUACCAAGCAUGAUACAUGUGGGCAUUGUGUUGGCACUUUAAUUUUGCCUGGCACCAACACAAUUUCCACUUGCCUGGUGGUAUGUAGACUGCUUGCAGUUUUGAUGGUGAUUAACAAGAUUGACAUGUGGAGGUUUGUUGGUGAUACAACAGAGCUUUUAAGGCCUGGAUGGUGGUAAUCCAUAUUUUCCUAGACAUAUUAUGUUUUAGAAUUCAAAAUAAAAUUCAUACUAUGUCAUGCUUCCCUAGUUCUACUAGUGUGGCUCUAGGACAGUUGAUUUUCUUUGUUGGUUCUACCUAAUUUCAUUCAUUGGGAAAGACUAUCAGAUAUGUAGGUGUUUCCCAAAAAGUCUUUGCUAAAAUUUGCAUUGUGGUGUAAUUUUUCAUCAUAGUUUUUAAAGGCACACUUAAAGUUCUCCUAUGCCCAAGGCUCAACCACUCCCUGGUUGUAGUGCUUUGCUUGCCAAGACAUGCACCUUGUUAGAGAGGCACACCUUGUCUACUUUAUUUUUCCUUUUUUAACACUUUUAUUCUUGAAAUUUUUAACUGUAUAUUAAAAUUCAUAUAAUUUAAUUAUUCUUUUGUUGAAUACUUCUUUUAAAUAUUUAGAUUCUUAAACUUUUUGUUUCUUGAAUUGGACUUUGGAUCAUAAUUUUUAAAAUUUAUAUGCAUCCUAGGUUACGUUUCGUGAUGCUUAGGCAUGUGCCUUGUGUUGCUCCUUGUGCUUAAGCCUUGAGAUACUUUUGCACCUUUUAAAACUAUAUUUUUUGGUUGCAAAACUUUCAAUUAGGUUUUGUUGGUUUUUUUGUCUGAUUUGUAUACCAUUUGGCUUUCCUUUUUUUUUUUUUUUUGAUAUUUUGUCUGAAUGCAAAAGGUAAAAAGUUUUUAACUUUUUUAUGAAAUAUGAAGUUUGAAAGACACUUGUGUUGAUUUCUAUUCAGAGUUUAGACAAAUUCAGACUUAUUUAGAUUUCACAUAAAGAAACAAACACACCACCUCAAAACUUUUAUAUGAAAUAUGAAGUUUGAAAGACACUUUUGUGUUGAUUUCUAUUCAGGGUUUAGACACAGACCUAUUGGGAUUUCACAUAAAGAAACAAACACAGCACCCUAGUUGAGUGUCCUUUUGUCUUGACUUAGGAUACACUUCUCAUGAAGUAGCCAAAUUUUGCCUGUAUGUUUUCUGUUAUUUGGAAAGAUUUUUUCUCCUGUAAAAUGUCGUUUGUGUUUUCAGCAAAUCUUGUUUUUUGGAGUGGAAUAGUACAACUUUCAGGAGGAUGCUUUACUGAACAUGUUGGCCAUGUUUACAUACAUAAUACUAGCAUAUUGAUCAUUCAAACAAUUUACAUGUUUUUUUAGUAAAAAGUUGUGGGAUAUUUUAGGAAUUGGAAGUGUGUAUCUGAGAUGCAACUUGAAAAUCAUUUUCUGUUAAGACUGUUGAAAUUACUAUAAUCCACUGACAGUCAAGACUGAGCAUGCAACUCAUUAAAUAGUGUGGUUGCUCACUAUCUCAAUUCCUCCCAUUCACAUUUAAGAAAUGUUGCUCAGAUAAGUUACUUUCAAUAGUGGGAUAUUGAUUUUAACAACCAUAGAGGGAUUUAAAACUUAUGUAGUUUUUUAAAUGUUGAAGGAAUUGGAAAAUUUCAUUCCCACUAGUCAACCUCAUAAAGUGAUGAAAUUUUGUCAUAAAUGUUGAUGGAAUUUCAAAAUAGAAAACCUACAUUAUGGGAAAUGGCUAGUUCUUUUUGUUAUUGAAAGUAAUUAGAGCCACAUCCAGUGGAAUGACGUCAUGGGGAUGUCAACAGGGUGGGUUUAGAAUGAGUUGUGCACUUGUGUCUCCCCCAACCUAGCCCGAAAGAAAAAUCAUGUACCUUAUCACUGGCAACUUGAUGAGGCAAUUAUCCUUGAAUUGGGAUGGGGCAGGUCCGGACAUUGGUUAACUCAAGGAAAUAAUACUCUGUCACAUCUGUUUAUUUGGGAAGAAAAUCAAAUGGGAAGAAAAACCGGACAUGCCAAUUUAAUCGACCCACAAAUAAAACUUGCAACACACAAUAUCCAAAAAAUCCAACAUUAAAAAAAAUCUUACUAAAUUCAAUGCUGCGGUGAAAAUCUGCCAAAAAAAGUUAAAUGAAAAAUAAUAUAAAAAAUUUAAAAUUUUAAUUUUUAAUGAGUUGAUGUAAAAACUUAAAUGAAAAAAUAAUAUAAAAAAAUUAAAAUUUUAAUUUUUAAUGAGUUGAUGUAAUUAAACAAGUGCUCUAACCAAACUAAUAUCAAAAGCAGACACGAUAUUAUAAAAAAUCUGAGCUUUAUCUUAGUGUAAAUCUAGUCGACCCUAACCAAAUCCUUGAUCAAAUGAAAUCUGUUUGGGAAAAAAAAAAAAUUCCAUCAUCCCCCAUGUGUUUGAGACAUUCAUAAAAAAAAAAAAAUGAAAAAAAUAAAAAUAAAAAUGUGAAGUGUGAAGUCACCAAUGGCUCAAGAUGAGAAAGGCACCAACAAGAAAGGGGGCUAAAAAUGUUUGAGCAGGGAGAUAUGAGAAAAUGAGGCAGUUACUGUAGAAGGGAAGAAUGGAAUGAGGGUUAGUGUUAUGAAGGUGGAUAUGUAUAGUCAUCCUUGUAAUUAAUAGCAUCUUCAAGGAUAAGAUAGUAAAAUACAACUAUAGUUGGGGUGGGCCAGGUGGGAAACUCAAAUGCCAUACUUGACCCAAACCUGAGUUGGGUUAUCCAAUUUUCAACCAAACCUGCCCCUGUCAAAUUUAUGCAUCACUGGGCAGUUUACUUGGAAACCCUGCCUCAUUACCAUUGAUAGAUAUGUGUUAGCAUAAUCACGCCUUGACCAAGGACCUGAAAAUACAAUACUGUUGAAAUAGUGAUUGGUUUUGGAUGAUAACAAGUCAAGUCAUUUUUAUCACUGAUCAAUUGUUACUGGUAGAACAGCUUUAGCUUUGAGUUUUUGUGCUCGUCCUUGGAUAAGAAUAACAGAUAGCUUAUUGCUGUAUCAUCAAACAUGCAAAAUUGAAAUCGUUUUCUCCUUAUUUUUCUUUUAUCUUUCAAUUUCUUCCCCUUAAUCUAUGUGUCAGUUUCACUUGAUUUUUCUCUUUCACGCACAUUUCUUCUCAUUGAUUGCUGUUUUUCAGUUACCUUCAGUUUCAUGGGAAUUGGAGUUUUUGUCCUAUACAUUAUUAGCUCCAGAAGUUUUGAAUAAUGUUAGAUGUCAAUUUUGAUUUCAUUUUAGAUUUAAGCCUGACAUUUAAUUCAUAUCAUGGGUGUAAGUAAUUUAUUUAUGAUUGAUUUUUAUUUUAUUUUUUACAUUAGAUGUCAAUUUUUGGCUUCAGUUUAGAUUUUAGCCCUGACAUUUUAAGUUAGGUUGUGGGUAUGGCUUAUGUGAGACUCAAGCUGCAUGAAUCAAGAGAUUAGAACUGAAACCCCAGAUUAAUGUUCCUAUCCAAUCCCAUCUACAACCCAUAGAGAUGAUGCAAUUCUAGGAAAGCGAUAUCUAAUGUCGGUGCUUCUUUCUUCUAAGGAUUCAAGUCUGAGAUAGGAAUAAGUGAGGAUGAAAUUGUGGAUGAUGUAUGCUGCCUCUAUACUCAUGGUUUGCUGGUUCUCAGGAUCUCCAUACAACACCAUAGCUGAGAAUGCAUGGCGAAUGUUAGUUAAUCAGAGGAUGUGUUGUUUCCGUUGCUAAGCUUCUGGAAUUUGGAGGUAGACUUUAUGGAAACUAUAGUGGUUUGGCUGCAUAAUGCUGGGUGAGUGUGGGCAACGAUGUCUGAAGGGAGUGUUGGAUAAUCAUAGGUAAUUUGUGUAAUACGAUCUUGUUUGAAAUGGAUGGCUUCUUUCUGGUGAAGCUACUUUGGAAGUCUUGGAAAACCCACUUCUUUUUAUAGGAGGAGAGGUCAGUUCCUUCAAAAGUAGCAUUUUUGUUUUCCUAUAAAAUAAAAAAUGAAGGCAGCAUCUCAUUUUGUGGGGUCACUAGUCAUGGGUGAGAUAUUGAUGGUGGACAACCCUGGGCCUCUUUAGUCUUUUAGCUAUUAUCUUUCAAAAAAAAGUGAAAGCUUGAUGAAGAACUGGUAAACAUUAUAAAAAAAUGGAGGCUAUGCAAUACAUUACAUGCAACAAUAAUAAUACUUCUUUCAUAUAAAAUGUAAUGUAUUGCAAAUAAAUUUCACAUCUUAAGCAUAUCUUAUGAUAGGCAAUACACAAUACAAUAUAUGUCAUAUACAAUGUAUGUGCAUAUUUGAUUACCUGUAAAUAGUUUUUUUUAAAAAAUUGAAAUUAAAUUUGAACUUUUAUUUUAGCUUUUAGCUCUUAAAAAUCAUUAUAAUUUUAAAAGGUUUUUAUUUGAUUCUUUUUUUAUUUUUUUAUUUUUUUAUUUUUUUUAUUGCCCCCAUGAUUAAAAAAAUUUCUUGUGGUAUUUCUAAUAUAGCAUCAUUUUGUGUGUUCUAUUUUUUAUUUUUAUUUUUUUUUUCAUUUUAAAAAGUUAAAAGUGCUUUCUUUUCCAAGUUUUUUCUAUUUUGUGUGUAGGGGCUGUGUGGUCAACUUAGAUGGUUAAAACACUGACCAUGCCACAAUCAUGUAUUUGUACAUGCUCAUAAUUUCUUUUCUGUACAUUGGUUGGCAACUUGUCUGAAUAUGGAACUUUUGGAAUAAUAGUGGUUAUUAGUGUAGUAAUUAUGUGGAUUUUAUUAUGAAUCUAUGCAUUAUAAUGUAUUUUGUUUUCUAUAAAAAAAAAUGACAUUUUGUUACAUCGAUUUCAUUAAAGUUCUAGUAUUUAUUUUGUAUAUAUGUAUAAUAUAUCAUAUUAAAAUUGGGUAUAUGAUUACCCUUUGUAUCUAUCUUUCAUGAAAUUGUAAAAAAGGGCUUUUGGUGUUCUAUGUUCUUGCAGUAUAUGUAUUUCAUGCUUGUGUGCAUAAUUUUUUCUAUUUUUUUUUGAUAGGUAAUGUGUAUAUUUUUUUCUAUGUAUUUCACAAUAUGUGGAAAAAGGAAAUUAAUGAUACACAAUGUGUGGAAAUAGGAAAAUGAUAUAGGAUAUGAUUUAAGGAUGGACAACCAUGCCAAAUGCACAUUUGCUUUGCACAACUGCAUACUGUGGGGAUAACACUGACAUCACCCACAUGACUCUCCUGUAAGCAAUUGAGAAAGCUUAAUUAUACCUAAACAGUCCCUAGUCAGUUCAAACAAAACUUUAAGAAGAUACGUUUUUAAGGCCUGAUCCGAACAGUCAAGAUCUUCAUAAAUCCUCCUUUAUGCUCCCUCCACAAGCACCAAAAUAAACAUAAAGAAACCAUUUUCUAGACCUUUAAGUGUCCUGAUGCCAUAAAACUGACCAGCUAAACAAGUCUUUAGCUAGCUGGCAAAACAGUCUGAAAAAACAAAAACAGGAGAUACCAGAAAUUACAAGCCCUUUCUGCAGUGGAUGAGAAUAUUGUUCAUUGAUCCCUCCUUACAUGCACAAGGUACACUGAUUAACCUAGGAUCAACCUCUUCUCAUCAGCUUAUUUCUUUUCAGAGACUCAAAAUCUUUUCCUAGACCAUCUCCAAACAAAAAUCAACCCUCAGUGGAGGUCUUGAGCUGGAUAAGUCUGGAGACACAACUGGACCAGUUGGAGGUAUGAAUUUAGCAAAGAAAAGUUUGUUCUUUGCACAUCUUCAUACCAACCUUUCCAGAGAGUCCCCUGCUAAUCCCCAUCUUUUGAAUUUGCUGAAGGAACAAUGCAACCAUCUUGAACUCCCAUUCAUGAAAGCUCCUAAUGGUUCUAGUGAUUCAUCCUAUCUCCCUCAUCUCAUACAUCAACCCUAGAAUUUAUAUGAGAAGCAAUCUUGAACAAGUCAUGAAAGACAUCUUUCAAUGGGCGAAUCACUGUAUUUAUUUAUGUUAAAAAAAAAUAAAAAGGGCAAAUCACUGUGUUACCAAAUAUGUUAUUGCUUAGAUUGUACUUACUCUGUUUUUGAUUUAUUGCUUUUACAUUUGUUCCGUAGAGAUCAAUGAAAUAUGUUUCAAUUAUUUGAAAAUCAACCCUAAAUGAAUCCCCAAUUUAAUGCCAUUCCAUUUGUUUUUGACUCUAGUUAUGUUGUAUAACAAGUUGAUAGAGUAUACAUCGUGUAUACCUCUUUUUUUUUUUUUUAAUACAAUCCUUAUUUACCUAUUAAAAAAAAAAACAAGUUGAUAGAGCUUCUAGUGAACUGUGUUGAACAAUCCUUAUUUACCUAUUAUAUGGACCUUUAAAAGGAAAGGAGAGAAGGGAGAUGUGGGAGGAGUUAGCAGCUGUAAGGGGGCUUUGGGAUGAGCCUUGGUGCUUAGCAGGUGAUUUUAAAGUAGUGUGGUUUUCAGUCGAAAAGAGUAACUAUAGGCAAAUGACAUCUACUAUGAGAGAAUUCUUUGGCUUUAUUGAUGAGUUUGAACUUGUAGACCUGCCUUUGGGGGGAGGUGGUUACACUUGGAGUGGAGGGUAGGGUGGCUUGCUCAAGGCUUGGUUGGACCGUUCAUUAUUCUUUGGUGAUUGGGAGGAUCUUGUUUCUGGGGCGAUACAACAUUUGCUGUCGAGACCAGUCUCUGAUUACUUCCCCAUUUUCUUAGAUUGUGGAGGAGUGAGAAAAGGCAAAAGGUCAUUUAGAUUUGAAAACAUGUGGCUAAGGGUUGAAGGCUUUGCGGAUAGAAUUAAAGAAUGGUGACGGACUUAUAAUUUUAGGGGUAUUCCUAGCUUUGUGCUUGCCAAGAAAUUAUAAGCUUUGCAAAGUGACCUAAAGAAGUGGAAUAAAGAGGUGCUUGGAAAUGUUUCAGCUAGGAAGGAUGCUGCUUUAGAGUCGAUAAACUACUGGGAUAAUGUAGAAAGGUUUAGACUCCUCUCUGAUGAGGAUAGGAGAAGUCAAAGGUCAGCAAAAGAUGUGUAUAGUCAUUUAGCCAUCCUAUAAAGACCUUUUGGAGGCAAAAAUCAAGGGCCCUUUGGCAGAAAGAAGGGGAUAAUAACACCAGGUUUUUUCAUCGCAUGGCUAAUGAAAGGAAAAGAGGAAAUUUUAUUAGCAGCCUUGCUGUUAGGGGGAUUCGCUUGAAAAAGAGGAGCUUAAAGAGGGCAUUGGCUCCUACUUCAAAGCUAUGUUUGAAGAACCCCAAGCAGGAAGACCUGAUGUGGCUUCAGAGUUAUUUAUGAGAAUUGACGCCAUAGAUAAUGAGGGAUUGGAGGGUCCAUUUUUAGAGGAGGUGACCAAAGCAUUGUCAAAAUUGGGGGGUGAUAAGGCGGCAGGGCCGAAUGGGUUCUCGUUGGCUUUCUGGAAGUUUUGAUGGCCUAUAGUAGGUGGGGAAGUGAGGGAGGUAUUAGAGGAAUUCCAUUUGGAGAAUGCUGUAGUUAGCAGCCUGAACUCAACCUUUUUAGUCCUCAUACCGAAGAAGGGAGGGGCAGGGGACAUGCAUGAUUUCAGGCUAAUUAGUCUUGUGGGGAGUCUCUACAAAAUUCUUACAAAAGUCCUAGCUAAUAGACUGAAGAGGGUGAUUGACNNNNNNNNNNNNNNNNNNNNNNNNNNNNNNNNNNNNNNNNNNNNNNNNNNNNNNNNNNNNNNNNNNNNNNNNNNNNNNNNNNNNNNNNNNNNNNNNNNNNNNNNNNNNNNNNNNNNNNNNNNNNNNNNNNNNNNNNNNNNNNNNNNNNNNNNNNNNNNNNNNNNNNNNNNNNNNNNNNNNNNNNNNNNNNNNNNNNNNNNNNNNNNNNNNNNNNNNNNNNNNNNNNNNNNNNNNNNNNNNNNNNNNNNNNNNNNNNNNNNNNNNNNNNNNNNNNNNNNNNNNNNNNNNNNNNNNNNNNNNNNNNNNNNNNNNNNNNNNNNNNNNNNNNNNNNNNNNNNNNNNNNNNNNNNNNNNNNNNNNNNNNNNNNNNNNNNNNNNNNNNNNNNNNNNNNNNNNNNNNNNNNNNNNNNNNNNNNNNNNNNNNNNNNNNNNNNNNNNNNNNNNNNNNNNNNNNNNNNNNNNNNNNNNNNNNNNNNNNNNNNNNNNNNNNNNNNNNNNNNNNNNNNNNNNNNNNNNNNNNNNNNNNNNNNNNNNNNNNNNNNNNNNNNNNNNNNNNNNNNNNNNNNNNNNNNNNNNNNNNNNNNNNNNNNNNNNNNNNNNNNNNNNNNNNNNNNNNNNNNNNNNNNNNNNNNNNNNNNNNNNNNNNNNNNNNNNNNNNNNNNNNNNNNNNNNNNNNNNNNNNNNNNNNNNNNNNNNNNNNNNNNNNNNNNNNNNNNNNNNNNNNNNNNNNNNNNNNNNNNNNNNNNNNNNNNNNNNNNNNNNNNNNNNNNNNNNNNNNNNNNNNNNNNNNNNNNNNNNNNNNNNNNNNNNNNNNNNNNNNNNNNNNNNNNNNNNNNNNNNNNNNNNNNNNNNNNNNNNNNNNNNNNNNNNNNNNNNNNNNNNNNNNNNNNNNNNNNNNNNNNNNNNNNNNNNNNNNNNNNNNNNNNNNNNNNNNNNNNNNNNNNNNNNNNNNNNNNNNNNNNNNNNNNNNNNNNNNNNNNNNNNNNNNNNNNNNNNNNNNNNNNNNNNNNNNNNNNNNNNNNNNNNNNNNNNNNNNNNNNNNNNNNNNNNNNNNNNNNNNNNNNNNNNNNNNNNNNNNNNNNNNNNNNNNNNNNNNNNNNNNNNNNNNNNNNNNNNNNNNNNNNNNNNNNNNNNNNNNNNNNNNNNNNNNNNNNNNNNNNNNNNNNNNNNNNNNNNNNNNNNNNNNNNNNNNNNNNNCUUAUGACAAUGUAAACCGGAAAUUUCUUCUCUCAGUUUUAGAGAAGAUGGGUUUUGGCUCCAAAUGGAGACAAUAGAUCCUCUGUUGCAUUUCUACAGUAAGUAUGUCUAUUUUAGUUAAUGCCACUCCCACAAAUUUUUUCUCGACACAUAGGGGGCUGAGGUAAGGGGAUCCACUCUCACUUGACUUGUUUGUUUUGAUUAUGGAAGCUUUCAACAUAUUAAUUGCUAAGGCUGAGGAGGGAGGUUUUAUUAGGGGUGUUAAGAUAGAAGGUAGAGGGGGAGAAGGGGUUCAAGUUUCUCAUUUAUUAUUCGCAGAUGGUACUCUCCUCUUUUGCGAGGAUGAUGAGGAUCAACUGCAAUAUUGGAAGUGGAUUGUCACUUGUUUUGAGUUGGUUUCAAGACUUGAGAUAAAUUUGCAAAAAAGUGAAAUCAUUCUAGUAGGGGACAAGGAGGAUGUGGACAGAGCUGCUGUCCUGUUUGGAUGCAAAGUGGGAGAUUUCCUACUUCUUAUCAAGGUUUACCCUUUGGAGCCCCACAUAGAUCAAUUGGUGUUUUGGAUGUAAUAGAUGAGAGAUUCAAAAGGAAAUUGGCUGCAUGGAAAAAACAGUACCUAUCCAAAGGAGGAAGACCCGUCCUUAUUAAAAGUACUCUCUCAAGCCUCCUGAUCUAAUUUAUGUCACUCUUUGUAAUCCCUAAGAAUGUGAGAACUAGAUUAGAGAGAAUUCAAAGGAACUUUUUGUGGGGGGAUACGGAAGAGAGGAGGAAGUUUCACUUGGCAAAUUGGGCGGAGGUUUGUAAGGAUAAGAAGCAUGGAGGAUUGGGGCUAAGGCACUUGGAGGGUCUUAAUCAAGUCUUGUUAGGCAAAUGGUUAUGGAAAUUCUCCCUUGAAAGGGAAAGUCUUUGGAGAAAAGUCAUUUUUGGAAAAUUUGGGGAGGUGGAGGGAGGUUGGACCACUAGAGAGGUGAGGGAUUCUUACGGGCUAAGUCUUUAGAAAGACAUUAGAAAAGGCUGGGAAAAGUUCACUCUUAGAACCAGCAUCUGCAUUGGAAACGGUAGAUGCACAAGAUUUUGGUGGGGUAGUUGGGUUGGGGAGAUUAAGUUGAAGGAUGUUUACCCAACACUUUUUAGGCUUUCUUCCCACAAGAAUGCAAUAGUGGCGGAUUUAUGGGGAAGGGGAGGGGGUGGAGGUGGAUGUUGGGAGGUUUCUUUUAGAAGACCCUUCCAAGAUUGGGAGCUAAAGGAAGUGUCUUGGUUUUUGGAACACAUCUCUCCUUCAAAAGUGCAAGAAGGGGAGGAUACUUUAAUUUGGAAAAAUGAUGGGAAGGGAAAGUAUAAUGUCAAGUCUUAUUGUAUUUCUCUAAGGACUGAGAACAAUCUUUUAUUUCCAGCUAAAGAGGUUUGGGGAUCAGGCGCUCCUCUCAAAACUCCUUUUUUUGCUUGGGAAGCAGUGUGGGGGUAGACAUUAACUGUAUAUAUGUUGAUGAAGAAAGGAUGACCCUUGGUUAAUAGAUGUAGUCUUUGUAAAGAUAGUGAGGAGUCAGCUAAUCAUAUUUUGAUUCAUUGUGAUAGGAUAAAGACAACUUUGGAUAUUGUUGUUAACAACUGUUGGUUUGGUUUGGGUGUUCUCGGCUUUAGUGAGAAAUCUUAUCCUAUAAUGGAAAUUCAAGGGACCAGGGAUGAAGAAAAGAGCAGUUUGGCAGCUGGCUCUGAUUUGCUUAUUUUGGUGUAUUCAGGGAGAGCGCAACCGAAGGAUCUUCGAAAACGAAGAAUUGUCGAACCAAAGGCUAAAGGUUCUCUUUUUCAGAUCCCUUGUGGAGUGGUCCAAACAGUUGCUGGAUUUGGAGAUCUCCUCUCGUUUGAAUUUUUUAGAGUAUCUAUAUUGUGGCUAGUCUUGCUCUUUCCUAGGUUCCUUCUUUCUUUUCUGGUGUUUGGUUUAUUUAUUUAUUUAUUUAUUUAUUUUUGUGUAUUCUGCCUGUAUAUGUUGGGUGCACCCCCUUUUUUUGGCGCUUCUUAAUACAAGCUUUUGUCUAUAAAAAAAAGAUUGUUUUCUGCAUCUUGGUGCUGUUAGCUCUUCUCACAUUUGAAGUAUAGCAGCAAAGAGCAGUUGAGAAAUAGGAUUAUUGGAGGUUGAUAACUGGGGAUUAAUAUUGGAUGGAUGGAAUUGAGUAAAGAGAAAAAAGGAAAAUGCUCAUUGAUAGUGUUGAGCUAGUGUCACAUGCUACUGGGACUGACUCAAUUUGAUAAUUGAUACAACUUCAGCUGAUAGUUGAACACUGCUAUUACUGCCUGACAGUGUACUCUGUUAUAUAUUUUUUGUCUUCUUGGUGGGUUUACAUAAUAAAAUUAGUCAAAUCCCAUGUUGUAUGUGAGUUUUAUUUCUGUUGGUUAGCCUAUUAGUAAGCAUCAUGGGUUUAUGCUACUCAGCACAUAACUUUUUGACAUUGAUAUAGCCCUUCCUGAUUAUAAAGCAGAAACAUUUUUUUACACUAAAUAAAAUAUGUUAGCACUGUUUUUACUAGUUCUUUUAACCAUGUAAGAAUAGAACAAUGCAUCAUUUUUCAUGUUUUCAGAGCAGUGUAUGAAUAUGUUGAAAAUGUUUUUCCCUUUUACUAAGCUUGGCUAGAUUCCACUUACAUGUUAUUAAUUAAAGAUGUUGACAAGCUCUGACUUGGUCCUGCAAAUUUGAGUAGGUAUGCAACUGCAAGUGCACGCUCUGAUGGCCUUCUUUUGCUUUGUGGAGGGAGGGAUGCAAACAGUGUGGUGAGUUAGAAAGGCAUUGUGAGGUUUUCAUAAUGUUUGGUUUUAGUGGAUCCUUGACUUCAUAUUUAAUAAUGUGAUUGGGGUGCUUCGUUAUCAUUUAUAAUUGAUAUACUCUCUUUUAGGAAACUGAUUAAUUGUCCUUAAUGUAUGGUUUUGUUUGCUUUUUUAUGGGAUAUUUCUUUCUUUCUUCUUCAUUUUCCUUUUUCUUUUGUUUAAAUAUUAAAAUGUAUAUAUAUAUAUAUAUAUGAUACAUCCUUCCGCUAUGUACAAUCCAAUUAAAAACCAAGAAAACCUAUAUAUAUAUAUAUAUCGAAACAACUAUUCAUUUCUAUUAAUAAAAAAGAAGCAAAAAAGAUAAUACAUCCUUCCACUAUGUACAAUACAAUUAAAAACCUAGAAAACCUCCCAACAACCAAAGCAAUCGUUAUAAUUGAGAUAGAUUACAAAAGCAACUCAAAUAAUUUCUAAGAAUAUCCUUUGUAGUUCUUUUUGUAUAUUUUUAUUCAUGUAUUUAUUUAUAUCAGAUGCUUAUAAAAAAAGAACUGCCAAGAAUAAGUGAAAGGUAUUCUAUAGAAGACACCAAAAACUUUGCUCUAUGUUUGACUAUGAGAUUUGCUACUUGAUUAGCUAAGGAGAAGCUCAAGAAAAGGAAAAUCCCUAAUUUGUAGGGAUAAAAUUUGGUGAAGCCAUCCAUUAAACCUCCAUGGUUCUAAUUCUGUACAGUUUGUGGGUGGUGUUGCCGGGUGAAAAGGUGAAUCUCAAUAGUGGAAUACACCUAGAGGGAGAGAAAGGGCGGGGGGGGGGGGGGGGUGGGUAGGUGUUUUGACCAAUUAAAAAAAAAAUAAANNNNNNNNNNNNNNNNNNNNNNNNNNNNNNNNNNNNNNNNNNNNNNNNNNNNNNNNNNNNNNNNNNNNNNNNNNNNNNNNNNNNNNNNNNNNNNNNNNNNUACUUGUUUAGUUAGGGAGAAGCUCAAAAAAGGAAAAAUCCUAAAUUGGUGGGGAAAAAAUUGGGAGAACCCAUCCAUAAAACCUCCAGGGUUUAAAUUUGGUACAGUUUGGGGGGGGUGUUGCGGGGUAAAAAGGUAAUUUUCAAUAGGGGAAAACCCCUAGGGGGAGAAAAGGGGGGGGGGGGGGGGGUGGGUGGGUAGGUGUUUUGACCAAUUAAAAAAAAAAUAAAAUUCUCAACUCAAAUUAGAAAACCUUGAAACUUUUUGAAUAUUUUUCUUCUCUUCACAUUCUUAAAAACACAAAUUAUAAAUCACAUGCAUAUAUGAAUGCAACAACACUCCCCAACAAUAUUAAAAUGCAAUUCACAUGUACAUGAUCGAACACUCCCAAACUCAAAUCAACUUAAACUAAAUUCAAAUAAAAUCAAGAUCAAUAUACCUUGAAAUGUCAAUGAUCAACAAUUAGAAACAGCUUCAAGGAUGAUUCAUAGCCAUUUCUCUUCAUCAUUCAAUCAAAUAGUAGACGAUCAAAAUUCUAAUAAAUUAUUGAAACUGAAAACUGGUGCUAAGAAACGAAAGAGACAAUGUGACACCAUAAAUUUACGUGGAAAAUCUCCGAAGAGAUCAAAAUCCACGGGCCUACUACUGAUCGAAAAACUCCACUAUGAAGAAUAAAAAUUGAGUACAAGGUUUUACCUAGUUCAAGCCAACCAAUCCUUCCUAGACCACUUGACUAGUACCUUCACUUUCAGCUUCUCUCCUUCAUCUUUCAGAGCACACUUGGAGUCCGUACCAAGCUCAAUCUCAGUCUCUUCUUGAAUUCACAUAAGAAGAAAAUUGGUUGUUGCACAAACCAAGAGAAUGGGAUAUGAAUGUUUCAGAAAUUAACCUAAGUUCAUUUUCAGAAAAUUCAUUUUAAAAAAAUUUUCUUGGAAAACUAGGAUGGAUUUUUCUUAGAUAGCAAACAUGCUCAAAUAGGGAAAGGGAAUGAAAAACUCUCUGCGACUGCUGCAGUCUCUCCUCCCAGAAAUGGGAGAAAUUUGAUUUUAAAAGGGAAUGAAAUCCUUAAUCCAAGGGUUGGAAAUUGAUCUUAGAAAUAGGUUAGUUGGAUUGAUCUGCCCCUACACUUGGAUUGAUCCAGAAACAGGGGAAUAAAAGCCUUGCACCAAAAACUAUUUCUCCUAGCUUUCUUAACUCAUUUAAAUAUGAAAAAAACAAGGUUGAUUCACAUUCAAUUACUACACACUCGGCUAGAUACCUCAGCCUCUUAGCAAAGUCUUAAUCUUCAAAGGUCAAAUAGUCCGAAGAGGGAUUGGUAAACCGAGUUAGGGGACACUUAGGAAUUUUGUUCGGAAUUGCCAACCUAGCUAAACACUCAUACCGGGAAAUAGGGGUUUGAGUGUGGUGAGUAAUUGAUAAUUGAUAAUUCUCUUAUAAUAAUGCACCCCAAUUGGAAAUACUUUUCAGUUAGUGCUCAUUGGUAGAGAGUUUGAAUUAAUCUUUGUUAAGCAUUAGACUUUUUGAUGGCAAGUUUGUUUCAAGGAACACAAGGCCAACAAGAACUUAAAGAAAAGCAGUAGCCAAUUGGGCCAUAAUGAUGGUAAAUUGUAAAUAAAGUCAUAAUGUUGGUGCCCUUUUGUAUAUAUCAUGUGUACUUUGGUGAGUUGUUUCUUUGGUGUUGUCUAUGAAAUUAUUUUGUUUGACUAUAUAAAAAAUCAAUGAAGUGAUCAUGUUUAAAUCCAUUGUCUUUUUUUGAUAGGCAAAGAUAGAAUAUAUUAGUAGCGCCUAACAAAAGGCAAAUAAAGGUAUACAGGAUGUACGUAGAGGUGCUAAAAUGGCUAAGCAAUGUUAAGGGAAAAACAAAAAACAAUUUCCCUGCCUCAUUUGGAGUUUAACCAAUCAAUAAAGUCGAACAUGGACAUAGAGUUGUCACUUAUAUACAUUCUAACCCACUCCUAAGAAAUAUACUUGGAAGUUUGCUUGAUUAGUUGGUCCCCUUUUUUAAUGUUUUGAAAAGCUCUCCAAUUUUUUUCUUUCUAAAUUGUCCAAAAUAAACACAAGCUCUCUUGGCUUUCAUUCUCUUCUUAUUGACACAAGAAACAUUCUAACCUAAAAGGGCAGUCCUCAUGGUAGAGUGCAUUAUCCAUAUCACAAAUAGAGCAUAAAUAAGAUGCCACAACAUGAUUGUUUUUGAACCGUGAAGGAGGAUAUGAUCAAUUGUUUCUUUAUCACCUUUGCACAGAUAGCAUCUAUUUGGAAUUCUCCAUCCCCUUCUUUCAAGCUGGUCCAAUCUCCCCCAAGUAGCUUCCCAUGCUAAGAAACUUACCCUCACCAAGAUCGAAGGAUUCCAAAUCAAGCUUGUAGGGAACACCUUUGAAUUUUCAAUGGAAGAGGAGGAAUAACGCUACUUAAUUGAGAAAUUACCACAUCUUGUAUGCUGCCAAGCCAUCUUAUCCUCUAUACUACUGCAAAUCAAUUGUGCCUGUAGUUUCCUAAAAAGGCUUCUACCUCAUCUAGUUCCUAUUUGUGGAUUUGUUUUGUGUACCUAGGAUUCUAAUGUCCACCCUCUCCAAGCUGCUUCCACAUCUUAGAUACCAUGUAUCUUUGGUGGAAGCUAUUGAGAGUAGAAUUGGGAAAGCCUCACCUAAUGGUUCAUCCUCACACCACCUUUCCAUCCAAAACUAUAGUCUCCACCCAUUUUCUACCUUGAAGGCCAUUUUGCUUUUAAAGCUUUUCCCACCCGCUUUUGAUAGCUUUCCACACCUUUACUCCUUACCCUGCCCUUACUUCUCUAGAGCUCCAUUCCCCUUCUUCCUCUCCAUACUUCCCUAAAAUUACCCACUUCCAAAAGAAGUCACUCUCGUUAGCAAAUUGUCACAAUCACUUGCCAAGCAUAGCUUUGUUAAGGAUGGAUAAACUUCUAAUAUCCAAACCCUAUAUCACAUGAGUUUGAGUAUGAGUGGUGAAUGCAAGUAUGUGUCUAGGUGUCUGUUUGAUUCUUCAUAACUUAAAUUAAUUUUAGGAUACGGGAACUCAACUAAAAAGGAUCUAAAAAGGAGAUAUGGGGUAUUGAGAUAUGACAUAAUAAAAGAAAAAUCAAUUAAAAAUAAAAUGGAAGUGAAGAUAUCAUUCUUAAAAGCUCCUAUAUUUUCCCUAUAGUCAUUUUUUUCCUUUUAUUUUUAAAUAUUCUUACAAAAAUUCACUUUUCGACUAACUCUUCUUUCUCUUUGGUGUAAUUAUUACUAAGAAAGUUGAAAGAAUAAAAGGAUAUUAAUGAAAAAUCAAGCAGUCACGCCUAAAGUAAAAUAAGAGUGUUCAAUAAGGAUUCCAUACCCAUACACAUGUAAUGUCUUAUUGACACAGGUACGUUAGGUGAAAUUGAAGAAUUCGGGUAUCAUAGUCCAAACCCCCCCCCCCCCCCCCCCAUAUCUCUUUUCUUGACAAAUUAAGGACCAUUCUUCCAUGUGUGGCUUGCUCUCAAGGGCCCUACCCCCCUCCCCCUAAAAACACACACACACACACACACACCCCUAAAAGGAAGUCUCUCUGGAUCUUUUUCAACCUCAAACUCAAAAAGUGUACUCUUAACUGGAGUCAAUUUGCCUCCCUUUGAUAGGUACUUUUCCACAUAGCUAGUCAUUUUUGAAAUCUCUCCUCAAUCACAUUCCAAAUUUGAGUUGAUUUAAAAGGUGCUUCUAGCAAAAAGGUUAAGAUAUGUAGAAGGAAGGGUUCUACCGCUGCAACCUAAAACCUUUAACAAACUUUUUUCGCGUUGGCAACCUCCCCAACAAAUUGAUCUUUAACUCACUUUUCUCCAAAUCGAUCUGAAGCCUGAGAUUGCCUCAAACCACAAUGAGAAUCCUCCUCAAAUAGUCCAUUUUCUCCUUUUAGACAUCUCAUAAGAUAAGUGUAUCUUGGACUAAAAGAAAAUGGGAUACNNNNNNNNNNNNNNNNNNNNNNNNNNNNNNNNNNNNNNNNNNNNNNNNNNNNNNNNNNNNNNNNNNNNNNNNNNNNNNNNNNNNNNNNNNNNNNNNNNNNUUUACGUCAACUUAAAAACUCAGGCCGCAGUCGGUAACCUCGCGCAUACAGCCGGGCAGUGACGUCAUCGUCUGCGCGGAAAUGGACGAACAGUGGGGCUAACCCCCCCCCCCCCCCCCCAUAUCUCUUUUCUUGACAAAUUAAGGACCAUUCUUCCAUGUGUGGCUUGCUCUCAAGGGCCCUACCCCCCUCCCCCUAAAAACACACACACACACACACACACCCCUAAAAGGAAGUCUCUCUGGAUCUUUUUCAACCUCAAACUCAAAAAGUGUACUCUUAACUGGAGUCAAUUUGCCUCCCUUUGAUAGGUACUUUUCCACAUAGCUAGUCAUUUUUGAAAUCUCUCCUCAAUCACAUUCCAAAUUUGAGUUGAUUUAAAAGGUGCUUCUAGCAAAAGGUUAAGAUAUGUAGAAGGAAGGGUUCUACCGCUGCAACCUAAGACCUUUAACAAUCUUUUUCGCGUUGGCAACCUCCCCAACAAAUUGAUCUUAACUCACUUUUCUCCAGAUUGAUCUUAAAGCCUGAGAUUGCCUCAAACCACAUGAGAAUCCUCCUCAAAUAUUCCAUUUUCUCCUUUAAGACAUCUCAAAGGAUAAGUGUAUCAUUGACAAAAAGAAAAUGGGAUACCUCCAUUCCUGCUCCUCCCCUUCCACUACCUAAGGAACUUGAGAUGAAUUCCCCCUUCUAUGACCUAUUUAGGAUAUUCGAGAGAGCCUCCAUAGCUGGUAUAAAGAGGUAAGGGGGAUAAAGGAUCACCCUGCCUCAAUCCUCUAAAACUAUUAAAAUAACCUGAAGGGUUGCCAUUUACCAAAAUAGAGAGUCAAGCUGUUGGGAUGCACCACUUGAUCCAAUCUAUCCACUUGAUGCCAGAACCCAUUUCAUCCAAAACUAUUAAUCAAAAGUCCGAGUUGGCAUGAUCAAAAGCCUUCUCAAUAUCCAGUUUCCAAAUGAUCCCCUUAUGAGCACAUUUCAUGCUAGAGUGGGCUUUAUUAGCAAUGGGUACAACAUCCAGAAUUUGCCUUCUUUCCAUGUUAGCAAUGAUACCCUAAAAUCCAUUGCCCCCUAAAAUUUGUUUAUUAUUUACGUGGGACUAGUAGGAUGAUUUCAUUUCUCCUUUUGGUGCUUUAUGGACUUCAUGACAACUAAAUAGAUCUUUUAGUAGGUUGAUUGCAAACUCCUUUGGGUCUCCUAGCACUCAAAUUUGUUCUCUUUACAUGGAUGGAACAGAGACGUUAAAAUUGCCAUUUUCUGUGUUGUUCACUGGACAAGGUCACUUAGAAACAUCAAUAUUGCGUGUUAUGUUGAUAUAUUGAUACACUCGUUCAAGCGCCAGACUUAUCAAUUUAUUCAUUUAAGUAGUAUCUAGGAAUUUUGUUUAUCAAAAAUAGGUUCUUAGUCUCUCUUAUCUCUAUAUAUUUUUACUGAAAUCUUUGAUUAAUGUUCUUUGUUAAUAAAAUCAUUCUGUUACAAGAAUAAUACUUUGGAUCAUUCUCUACCAACUCCUCACUCUUCACCUUGUAUGGCAGAUAGAUGAUGAAAAUGUUGUUAGUGCAAUUUGGAGAACAAAGUUUAUAUGUAUGCUGCAUAAUGCAGCCUGAAAUCUCUGUUAAAAUGGUUGAACAUCUUAUUACUGGAUGUAUCUUUUGGGGAUGGGAGUGUCUCAUUGUUAGAUUUCUUAAGUGCUUAUUUGAUUUAUUUUAUUUGCCUUUUAAAAUCUAUAGCAACCUGUAACUUUUUGCAAGUUUAAACUUUGGCCCAGAAUUGUUACUGAAAUGCUGGUUAACACUUUGGUACUAGUUUGUUGAAGUGUCAUAUAUGUGCCAUACUCUGUUUAAAUGAUGCUCUCUUUCUAAUUGUAGCAACAGAUAAUUAUGCCUCUUACACCAUUUUCUUUGUCAUAUGCAAACAUACAUAUUGUAAUAUUUAUUUAACCUUUAUUUAUUAUUAUUAUUAUCAGUAUUAUUUAUUUAUUUUUUCUGAUUCUUGCAGCCAUUGGCAAGUGCAUAUGGACUUGCUAAACAUAGAGAUGGUCGUUGGGAAUGGGCAAUUGCUCCUGGUGUUUCACCUUCUCCUAGAUAUCAACAUGCAGCAGUAAGUUUUGGUUGCCUUUGAAAAUAUUCUUUUCCCCUUGUGCUUUGUUCCUUGUUUUGGAAGAUUAGUUACUUAGCUACAUUAUGCUUUCUAGGUUUUUGUUAAUGCUCGGCUCCAUGUAUCUGGAGGGGCACUUGGUGGUGGACGCAUGGUAGAAGAUUCAUCAAGUGUUGCAGGUACUUGAUUCUGGCAGUUGCAUACCUUAACCUUCUUGUAUACAUGCAUAGUUGGAGAAUUUUAUUAGAUAUGUCUAACAAGGGGAACAGGGAUGGGAAUAAAGACAAAUUGGUGGUUGCUUUUGUUUUUGCACAAGACAUGGUUGUGGGAUAUGAUUUGAGAUGGAAUCUUUAACCUCUUGCUGCAGGGAUGCAUUUUACACAUCUAGGAAUAGUGUGGUCACCUAGGCUGUAGGUGGGUCUUGUGAGUGCUGUUGAUUGAUCAGGAGGUAGCUAUUGUCGGUCUGGGCAAGGUUGCAUCUUGACUCAAGACCAAAGACAACAAUAAACUUAGGCGUCCCCUCUCUUUUGUGUCCAAAAGUUCUGCUUUGAUGCAGCUGCUUUUUCUUUUUCUUCUUUCCUAUGUAAUAGUUACACCACACCUGAUCUGUUUCUGAUUUGUUGUUCUUAUCUCAGUUCCAUGCCUAUUAUCUUCCCUUUUGUUUGCUUAUUUUAUCAUGUAGUGCUAUGUUUUUUAUCGUAUUUCUAUUAAGGCUGUUCUGGACUCAUCUUGCCUGCCAAAGCAAGUCAAUGAGUAUUUUUUCUUUUGCUGGCGCUGUGGGAGAAACUUAGAGAAUACUUGCCCAUCAGUUGACAUUCAAAUUAAUCUGUAUUAUUAAGUUUGAAGAGAGUAUAUUCUUGUUUAAUAACACUGCCACUUUACUUUUUAGGCUUCUCUGGUUCAAACUUUUCAAAAUGGUGCUGACCUUGUAAUGUUUUUGCAUAAAAUUCUGGAAGCCUUACAUAUUUUUAAGAAAAAAAUUAUCAAAGUCUAUUAUCUUUGAUGUUAUUGUUAUUAUACUAAAAGAAAGUUUGUCUUACUUUUGGAAAGUGAUGCUCCAUUGUGCAGAAACCUCACAAGUUCCUCAUGUUUCUCCUGUUUAUAGUGUUGGAUACUGCAGCAGGCGUUUGGUGUGAUACGAAGUCUGUAGUCACUAGUCCCAGGACAGGCAAAUAUAGUGCUGAUGCAGCUGGUGGGGACGCUGCAGUUGAAUUGACCAGGCGUUGCAGACAUGCGGCUGCUGCUGUUGGUGACUUGAUCUUUAUUUAUGGUGGUUUACGUGGUGGUAAGAGAUGAACCUAGUUUGUGAAAUUUCAUUUUGUUGCAUUUUUAAUUUAAUUUCAGAAAUGGAGCUGCCAUCCUCCUAUUGCUCUUAUAUACCAUUCUCUAUUAACCUUAUUAUGCUGAUCAUUGUAUAGCAUGUCAGGACAUUGAAAAUACUUGCAUCCUUAGCAAGUACUUAUAGGUCUUAUUUGUUUAGAGAGAAAUGCAAGACUGAUGAGUUAUGAGUUUUAUUCUAUAAUUCAUGCCACUAAAAGGACUUACUGAAGUAGGCAAGGAAUGCACUAGCACAAAAAAAUUCCCUUGUUGCAUGAGUGUCAUUUGGGAUUGGAUUUUUCCAAGAACAAAUGACUGGAAAGACUGGGAAGCAAUGGUUGCAUUCAGCGAACUUUAGAGUAGCCUCGAUAGAGGAUGAUUGGAGAAGUACAAAUAGAUUAGAACAUGUGCAUGGCUAAAUGUGAAGUAAAUGCAAUAAACGAUGUGAGGGAGGAUUCUAAGAACUGGAUUUUGUAUGUUUGUUUUGGUGGAUAUGUACAGAGUGGAAUUAUAGGAUUUUGAAGGCUUUAAGUGCUUAUUGAAAGAUUUUUCCAAAUCUCCUUCCUUGGUAUAGGGCUUCUCUGGGGUUUGCAAUGUGUUUGUGUUAUAUUUAAUUUGGUAAUUGAAAAGAAAACUAAAUGGGGAGAGGAAAUACAGAUAUGAUGUGGCUGGAGUUAAAUUUUAUGUGCUAGUGAAAAAGAAAACAAAAAAGGAAGAAAAAUAUGUGCGUUGUGUGAAAAAAUAAAACAUAAAAUGGAAGAGGAAGUAUGGAUAUGAUGUGGCUAGAACUAUUUAAUUUUCUAAUUAAAAAGAUAACAAAAACAGAGAGUUGAAGUAUGGAUAUGACAUGGAUAUAAUUGUCUUUUCCUGAGCUGUAAUGCAUUAAGAAAUGGAUGCAUUUUGGAAAUAUAGUAAAAGUAAUAGAAAGAAAAAGGUUGGGAAAUGUGUGUGUAUGUUUAUGUCUAAUUUGCUGAUUGAAAAGAAAACAAAAACUGGGUGAGGAAGUAUGGAUAUGAUGUGGGUAGAAUUAAGUUUCAUUUUUUUCCCUAAGCUGUCUGUGUGUUUUAUAUUUAAUUUGUUGAUUGCAAAGAGAGCAAAACUGGGGAGAGGAAGAAUGGAUAUGAUUCAGCUUGAAUUAAGUUUUGUUUUGCAUGAGCUGUAAUACUUUAAGAAAUGGAAACAUUUUGGAAAUACAGAAAAACAAAUAAGGAAAGAGUUGGGAAACUCAUGCCAUUACUAGCAAACAGCAUGGCUAAUUUAGAUGCAGAGAUUAACCCAGAAAAUGAUGGAUUGAGUGUGAGGUUGGUUAUAUGGUAGAGCAGUAAUGUUGUGCACCAAGUGGAAGCAAUGACAAGAUAUGUUGCCUAUCCAAAUGAAACUGCAUAAUUGAUAGAAAUUUGAACUAUUACAACACAUUUGUCAAGCACAUAAGUUCUUUUAAGUUCUAGUUACAUGUUAGAAAUCUCAAGUGCUGUUCUUGGGAUUUUUUUCCUUUUAUUAGAGAGUACAUGCUAUUAGAAAUAUCUUAACCAUUAAUUGUUGUUUGGGGUACCAAAAUGAAAGCAGUGGCCUGUGAUAUCUACGAAAAGGAAAAGAGAGAUCAAAGCACCUCUCUUUGCAUUUUAAAUACUAUAGAUGAAUCAUAUGGUGAAAUCUCAUUUUAAUCUCUCUGUCACUAUAUAUUCACAUUAUAGGGAAAAAAAAACUGUUUCAUUUUGCUAGCUAACCUCUAGAAGAUUGUUUUCUAUAAAGGAUUUCAGAGCUUUUACGGGUUAUGGAUCUUGUAUUGCACCAAUGCCAUGGUGUUCUAAGCAAUAGGCUGGUUGAUGAUAAUUGAUAACUAAGCAUGUCAAAUGUGUUCUGUAUUUUCAACAGGUGUGUUGCUUGAUGACCUGCUUGUUGCUGAAGAUCUGGCUGCUGCUGAAACAACAAGUGCAGCUUCACAUGCAGCAGCAGCAGCAGCUGCAUCGAAUUUACAGGCAGGGAGGUUACCUGGAAGGUAUGGAUUCAUCGAUGAAAGAACGAGGCAAACAAUUCCUGAGGCAGCUCCUGAUGGUUCAGUUGUCCUGGGAACUCCUGUAGCUCCUCCUGUAAAUGGUGAUAUGUAUACUGAUAUAAGCACUGAAAAUGCAAUGCUCCAGGGAUCCCGGUGAGUUAGCUACUGCAUCUGUAUAUUGAUUUUCAUUUGAUGUCAUUUAUUGAAUAGCAUGGUUUUGGCGCAUAAUUCAUUCAAGGAGCUAUAUUGUUACUCUGCAGGAGACUGAGUAAAGGUGUUGAGUACUUGGUUGAGGCCUCAGCAGCCGAAGCUGAGGCUAUAAGUGCCACAUUAGCUGCUGCAAAAGCUCGGCAAGUCAAUGGAGAAGUUGAACUACCAGACCGGGAUCGUGGGGCAGAGGCUACCCCUAGUGGAAAACAGAUAUCUACCUUGAUUAAAAUGCCUGAUUCUGCUGGAUCAAAUAAUAUUGCUCCUGCUGGAGUUCGGUUGCAUCACAGGGCUGUCAGUAUUAGAUUUUAAUUCCCAUUUUGAAUGUUAUUUUUCAAGUCAAUUUUUGCUGUCAACAUAUUUAUAGAUAAAUGUGACUUCUUAUCUGGUGGUAUUUCUUUUAUAUGUAUUCUCAGGUGGUUGUAGCUGCUGAAACUGGUGGAGCUUUGGGUGGCAUGGUGAGACAACUCUCAAUUGACCAGUUUGAAAAUGAGGGCAGAAGGGUCAGCUAUGGAACUCCAGAGAGUGCAACUGCAGCAAGGAAACUAUUGGAUCGGCAAAUGUCUAUCAACAGUGUGCCCAAGAAGGUACAGAUAAUUGUUUUUAAUGUAUAUGAUGUAUUUUAAGAUAUUGAUUCUGUCAAUAUAUGUAGAUUUAUCUCUGCUUCGUGUAAAAUUGGAAUAUUGAAAAGAAUUCAUGCAGUUGUCAACAAAUAGUUGGUAUAAGAUCCAUUGAUUUGAUUUCAAUUAGGGUGCAUGUCUAUCUGUGCAUUUGUUAUGCCCUAUAAUUCAAUAUCAAGUGGCAGAAUGGAAUUUGUUCUGCCCUAUAAUUUUAUGUUAUUUGUAUGACUGUGCAACACUUUAUUUCUUUAUUAUUAUCCAAUUUGGAAUUAUGUAGUUUUUCUCCCAAUCUCGUCUUAUUAGGUCAAUGAUAAUCUUGGCAUAUCAAUAUUUUCCAGGUGAUAGCACAUCUUCUGAAGCCUCGUGGUUGGAAGCCUCCGGUUCGCCGGCAAUUUUUCCUAGAUUGCAAUGAAAUAGCGGAUCUUUGUGACAGUGCUGAACGGAUAUUUUCAAGUGAACCAAGUGUUCUUCAGAUAAAAGCCCCUGUUAAGAUAUUUGGUGAUUUGCAUGGGCAAUUUGGGGAUCUCAUGCGCCUUUUUGAUGAGUAUGGUUCCCCUUCAACUGCUGGAGACAUUGCGUAAGUUUUUCCACCUAACAGGGCUGAGCAACCCAACAUCCUUCUCUUCAUUAUUUUUUGUCAAUUCUUUUAUUAAUCCAUGCCAUGGUCACCUUGUUUAUAUGUUUGCCCUCUCUUAUAUAGAUGCUAAUGAAGCUUCUUUAACUAAUCCAUGCCAUGAUCCUAAUGUAUUGAGAAGUAUGAUAUGCUAGUUUCAGAUUGAAUUUUCUUUCUAUUGAGGGCCAUAAUUACUACCUAUUGCUCCUAUGACAUACUUCAGAUUGUCAAACCAAAAAAUCAGUUUGAUAAACAAUAAAAGUGAUUGUGUUGUAUGUCUAUCAAUUAAUAAUUUUUAUAAGAUGUUUGUUUAUACAUGAAGAUUUAAUCUGGAAGUUCCUUUAUCUCAAUUACUUAUGGCAGCAAGUUGUUGGAUGUUGCAUUCUGUUGGUGUACGGUUAUUACUUCCAUUACAUGCUAAUGGCAUGUUCCUUUUAGUAGUAUAUUAUGCCUGCUUAAAUGGAUUCACUUGCACAUGGACAUGGUUGUGCAUAUAUACAUGCUUCUUCAUGGACAAUUUCUAUAGCACUCUUACAAUUCUUGUUUUCCAUCUUUGAAUCGAUUAAGUUCAACUUAAAAUUCUAAAACCACGUAUGCCCUAUUGUUAAUUGUUUUUUCCUAAAUAAAAUUGAUAUAAUCAUCAAUGAAUUUAUACUGCUUCUGUGGUAACAGUAAUGCAAUCGUAAAUUAUGGUCCUAAACCUUGCUUUGAGUAGGCUGUCCUUUGGGGUGCAACCUGAUGCUGACUCUGUAUGGUGUUCUAGAAUCUUCUUUAUUGUGGAGCUUGAAUUUCUGUUGCCCUGUUCUGAAAUUGGUUCCGCUUUUGUAUUUCAUUCACUAUUCAUGGCCAAGAGUUAGCUGCCAUCAAAUAUAAAAGAAAUGGAGAAUUGCUAAAGGAAGUAGUGUAUAAUGUUGCAAUAAGUCAAAUUCUUUUGUUGACUCUUUCACUUGAAGAAUAUACUGGGUAUUCAGCUUUACAGAUUUUGUUUUUGUUUUUCCAGUUUCUGUCCUCUGACUUUGAAUCACAUUUAGGAAUUUAAUCAUUCCCACUCUAAUUUCCUAGAUUUACUUCCAAUAAUAUAAAGGAAACACAUCCAGUGUCAUUAUGGAAUCCAAUCUGAAUGUUUUCUGGAUUUGCCUUGUCUCGAAUCAGGUUUCAAGCUUCGAAUUCAAGUUAAGGUUUUUGCAGUGAUGAAAUGAAAUUGCCUAUGGAAUUUUUAAAAUCAAGAUAUCAUUAUUUGUUUAACUUCAGGGUUGGGAACUCAGUUCCCACAUUUCCCAGAAAGGGGAUAAUUUGUGUGAUAACAGAUAAGCCCGAAGGCAGUUCUCAUCCCUGUCGAGGGAGAUGCCAACCAUUUCUCCUUUAUCAACUCCAUCAUGUCGUGACUGUUGUGAUGAAACCAAAAGUGGACUGCUAUUGGGGCAACCCAUGUUUUUGACAAGAUAUAUGCAUCUUGCAGCAUGCCCAGGUUUUUCAAGGUCAAUUUGGUUAUGUGUCUUAGGAUUUCAUUUUCUUGUAGCAUCAAGAGGGAUCAGGCUUUCCAAUUAUCCUCCCUUUUUCUCCUUAAAUUAAAAAAAGUUAAUAUUUCAUAUUUAUCAUGUUAAUAUUGCUUACAAUUCUACUCUUGAAAUUCUUCUGUUUUUCUUAUUUUCUUUCAUGUUUGCUGGUUUUGUAUGGAUGGCUAUCAGAUAUAUAGAUUAUCUCUUCUUAGGAGACUAUGUGGACCGUGGUCAACACAGUCUGGAAACUAUUACACUUCUCCUUGCUUUGAAGGUAUCUCCUGUGCCUUUCUACAUAUUCCAUUUUGCUUAUCUUUAUGAUGUUUGCUCACUCUUGUAUUGGACUAGUAUUGGCUAAGAUAUUCUGUAUAAUCAUUUGAAUAUUGUAGGUUGAGUAUCCCCUCAAUGUACAUUUAAUUCGUGGUAAUCAUGAGGCUGCAGAUAUCAAUGCUCUUUUCGGUUUCCGGAUUGAAUGUAUUGAGCGCAUGGUAUGUGAUUAUAUGCACAAAAAAAUGUUUUAGUUUCCCUGUAUCGACUAGUUGCAGCUACCAACUUUAUGGCAUACUGAACAGGGUGAGAGGGAUGGAAUCUGGGCCUGGCAUCGGAUAAAUCGAUUGUUCAAUUGGCUUCCUCUAGCUGCUCUAAUUGAAAAGAAAAUAAUCUGUAUGCAUGGUGGUAUUGGUCGCUCAAUAAAUCAUGUGGAACAGAUUGAGAAUCUUCAACGGCCAAUCACAAUGGAAGCAGGCUCAAUUGUUCUUAUGGAUUUAUUGUGGUCAGUGCAUGUCUAUACCGUUACAUUUUGUCCCUUGUGAUAAAAAAGUUCAUUUGCAUUAUUGAUUUGUUGGUGAUAUUUAUUUAAUUUUGCAUUCAUAGGUCUGACCCAACAGAGAAUGACAGUGUGGAAGGAUUGCGACCAAAUGCUAGAGGUCCAGGGUUGGUUACUUUUGGGGUGAGUGUUAUAUUACAUUGUUCUCAUUUUAUAUUUUGGUAUCAGAUCUUUCAGGUACUGGUAUCACAUUAUACUUGUUUUAGAACUAUAUAAAAAUCUACAUAAAUCUGCGUGUUACAACAAUUAAUUUUCUUUCCUAAUAAGAAAUGUGAUGCAAGAUUUUGAGUUAUUUGCAACAAUUUUAGAAUUUUGUCAUUAACUGUUUAUUUUAACAUUUUGCAUAUUUUGGACUGUUCUUCCAGUUAAAGAACUGAAGAAAUGUGGAUAAAAUUUGUUGUCGAGGAUAUUUGGUUAAUUUUGUGAGUUUCUAUUUUUAUUUAUAGGUAUUAAAGUUUUUUUAGGUUGUGUUUGAGCUAGUUAAGGGUGACAAAAUGAGCAUAAAAUUUUUAAUCGUGGGAUAUUCCAUAUUUGGUCAAUUUUGUUGGUUGCGGUUAUCAUUUUUGAGGUGUUAAAGUUGUUUUAUAGGUGUGUUCAAGUCUUGUUGAGCAUAUUCUUCAAUUUUGAACCAUUUCCACUUGAAGAUGGUUUUGGUUGUUUAUGUUGUCCUCUUCCUGUGCCAACGUAGAUGAAGAUAAAGUAGUGUUAUUAGUUAUCAAUAACAGUUUACAAGAAGUGUUAUGUCAUUUUCACAUGGAUGAUGUUGAUAAAUAUAUUUCAUUUGGAAGAUGAGAUAGAGUAAUGCUAAUGCUACUUAAGUUUCUCAGAUGCUGAAGAAGAGGGAGUGAGGGUAUUUUGGACUUGCCUGUCAAUUUUUAUUGAUCAGUAAUAAUAUUUGUUUGAUGUGUUGGCUGAGAGGUUGCUAAUCAUUCUACCAUAAGUGGUAUGUCCUUCACAUGGGCAUGCAAUUUUAAGAUAUUGGUUUAUAGUGAAUGAAUAUAUUGACUUUAGACAGUCUCACAUUUAAGAAAGGUAUGUUCAAUAAAGAAACUUUAAAAAACACUCCAACAGAGGUUCCAGAAAGAAAUCUUUCAGGUUCAGCAAUGACAGAUCGACUCCUCCUAAGUUCUUCGAUUUUGCUCCUAGAAAUGCUCAAAUAUACCCUUUGCACUUCCAUUGAAAUUACCGUGCCAACUUGAUAUUUUCUCCCUCAUCAAGUGAGGAAGGACUUGGGUAACCCCAAAAAUUGGGAAGAUUAAAGCCCAUAAACUGUGAGCAACCUGUUUUUGCUUGCACAUGCAACACUAAUUGAUCAGAGUCCUGUUAUCAUGAGUUGGUUAAUAAUUGGAUCCUCACCCAAACUCUUCUUCCCUGCAAAGAACCCAACCUUUGAGUGCAUAAAGGAUUCCCAAACCUCUCUCAUUAGAAAGGAGUUGAUAGAGUUUGAAAAAAGGAUUUAACUGAGAAAAGAUUGCUCUUAGAUGCUCUUCUGGGCUGAUCUGUCCUCCAUGUUUUCACUGAUCACAUGCUCCUGGAUACUUGAAAGGAAAGAUUCCCAAUAAUCUAAGUGCUGUCGCUGUUAUGGAAGAUCUUUGUGAACCUUGGAUUCCCACAACCACAACUCUCCUCUAUAUGCCAAUAAUCUGAUACCUUCACCGCUCUACUGACUGCUCUAUUAGUUACUUUUAAUAUAUGUUUCCCUUUCGCCUAUCAAAAAAAAAAAUCUCAAUCCAGAUAAUGAUCCUCCAAAGAAGACUCUCCACAGAACAAAUUAAGGCCAAAAGGUCACUCUUCAAUUGUUACCCAGAGAUACCAGUAAAAGGAUAAAAUUUUUUCCUCCCACUUCCAAUAACUUUCCAUGGCCUCAUACAGGCUGCUCUACCCAAUCUAGAACACCAAUCCCUUCCUCACCAAAUUUAUGACAAUAACUGCUUUCCUAACAACGCUUUGUUAAGGAUGAAUAAAAUGCUAACACAUAGCCUACCCUUCUCAUUUCCAGCACAAAAAAUAACCAAUUUACCGAGUGCACCUUUAAAGAGUGUGUUUAAUGUCCUCCAGCAUAGCAAAGGACAUAAACGGAGGACAUAAACAGAUUGACAAAUUGGACAUAGUGCUUUUGUUGGGAAUUAGAAGACCCUCCAUUCAAUGAUACCAUCUCUUGUAAAGAAGCAAGUCUCCUUUUUGAACUGUUCCUCAAUUGAGUCUCAUACUGAGUUAGCCUUGAGAGCACCACCCAGUGGCUAUCCCAAAUAUUUAGAUGACUGGCUACCCACCCUACACCUGAAACAGAGCCGACUCCUCUAUGUUCCCUUGUUUCCUGGAAAUAAGCUCACUUUCCGCUAACUUAAAGCUUAAUUUCCAGAUUGGAGAGCUGCCUCAGGACACAUGAAGAAUGCACCUCAGCUGAAGUAACUGGUAAUAACGUCAACAAUAAAAAGCGAGUGAGAUCUCCAAGGCCUGACCACCCCUUCUCACUCCCACAACCUUAAAGCUACUUAAGAGACUAUCUUCCACAGCCCUUAAAAUUUCCAUCACCAAUACAAAUGGAUAGGGGGGAAGUGGAUCCCUUGGCAUAAUCUUCUCAAGCCAUGGAAGAACCCUGAAGGAGAACCAUAACCACAUAAGUUGGGUUAUAAUGAUCCUUCAAAGAGAUCAACUGAUCGGCUCCUUGUUUUGCUAAUAUAUCUGUCACAUGGUAAGCUGCUCAAGCCAAAGGAAUACCCAAACUCUAAAGCAAUAUAAAUUUUUUUUCACAGCCACCAUUAAACCUCCACAAGCCACCUUCUUAUUUACCCAUGAUAGGACUGAUGCAGAAUUUCUCUCUAAUUAAAGAUUGGAUAGAUCCUCAGUUUUAGCUAGCUUUGGGCCUUUCAUCAAGGCUAAUAUCUCUGCCUCAAUGGCAGAACCACUCCAACAUUCUAAAGAAUGCUCUCUGUGAUGUUUCAUGAUGGUCCAUGAACGUUCCUCUAAUUCCUUCUUGUGUUGGUUUACCCAAGGAGCACUCAUCAAAAUUCAAUUUGAUCUGACCCAAGUUAUAAGCAAUCAUCAAUCAAUUGUAAAAUUGAUUUUUCCAAUAUGUGCCAAUGGCGAAAAAUUGCAAAUUCUAUGUUCUCUCCCAAGAGAGCUAAUUUCUUGCAACUUAAUGAAACGGGUUUUUUUUUUUCUUUCAAUUAGUUAAGUUGAUCUUUGAACAAGUUCCAGUCUUUUCAUCGGUCACCUACUGCCCAUACCUAUCAAAAAAGAAAAAGAAAAAUCAGUCACCUAUUGUCCAUGGUUGAUCCAACUGAAGUUUUGAUGCCGUUUUUGAUCAUUCAAACUCUCUCAAAACUUACUUUUGUCAACAUGACAUGAUUGUGGAUAUGGGAUCCUUGUCGGACACUAUUUUUCUUUGUGUGUGGUUAUUUGAGUUUUUUCAUUGAUAUUUUUUAUUCUUUCCACUUUCUUAGUAAAUACAUUAGAGAAAAAGAAGAGUCAUCUGAAAUGUGAAUUUUUGUAAGAAUAUUUAAGAAUAAGAGAAGACGGGAUUACAGGAAAAUUAUGGAAGCUUUUAAAAUGAAUAUCUUCACUUCGAAUUGUCUUUUAUUGUGUGGUAUCCCAAUACCCAUGUCCUUUUUGGGAUCCUUUUUAUCUGGAUCCCUGUGGCCUAAAAAGUUUGAGUUGUGAAGGAUCAAACACUUGGAUGCUGAUCCACAUCCGACACCUAUACAUGAAUCCAUGCAACAUAGCUAUAAUGUGAUAUCAUGAUUGUGUGAUACUAAAGUUAUGUUAUUAUGAGAUAUAUGUAAUUAAGUAGUGGUUUUCCUACACUUAAUCGUAUUUUCAUACUCUGCAUGCUUUAGUCAAUCAAUUUAAACUACUAUAAUACACUAUCACCCAAAGGUCUCAAGCCUUGGUAGGAAUAACAUGAGGGCCUAAACAUAUUUUCAUCCUUUCUAAAGCUUCUCUAUCUUUAGAUUCAUUAGCUCUCUUUGGGGGUAUCCCUGAUUUUCUACCUGACAAGUUAAUAAACAAUUUAUGAAUAUAUCCUCUGCCUUUUUUAGUUCCAUGAUCCUUCUUUCUGUAAUUCUCACUUUUAACACUCCUAAUGCUUGCCAUUGUGGUAAAUUCUUUACAUCAUUGUCCCAAUUGUUUAUACUUAACAUGUGAUGAUGAUCAACACACAACUGAAUUACAGCCUUAACUGCCUCCUUUUUUUGUGGUUUCAUUUUAAUAUUUUCAGCUUGUUUUUCUUAAAGCCUGCCUUAUUUCUACAUCUUUGCCCAGCUCUCCAAUAGUUUUUCGAGGUUCAAACUUUUUUCUGGAUAGGUUUUGGGUGCCAGCCAUUAGGCAUUGCAGACGAACCUAAAUGGCCUUAUGUAAUGCCUUUCUAAUAAUUAGUAGAUUGCAUCUUUUUCUAUUUUUUAUUUAUUUUGUGUGUGGGAAUAGUGAUCAUCCCCUUUAUGUUCUGCAGGUAAGUCUCAACCUUAACAUUUCACAUAACAUUGAUAUCAUUAGAAUUCUGGAAAAGGAAGUAUUAAAGAUUCAAUGGCCAUGUGUUCUUGAAGUCUAUUUUCUAAAUAUGGUUCACACAUUAUGCUUGUGCUUGUGUGUACUAUGCUUGCACAACAUGGUGCUAAGCUUUGCUCUCCUGUAGUCAAGAAAAUGAACAAUAAAUUUUGUAGACCUUAUUUCAGAUAAACGUACUUGGAAGCACUUGCUGGCUCUUCACUGGCGAGUAUGAGAUGUUGAUUUUACAUUUUAUCAAGUUGAAAUUGUAUAGAAACAUUUCAGAUUUCCUCCUGUUGUACUAGUUUACUUGCAUUAUGAGUUUGGUCGUUGGAUUGUAGUUAUUCAAGUUUUGUUUGGUCAACUUACAUUUAUCAAUGGUUAAAUAUAAUAGCAGUUUCUUCUUACAAUAUUAGUUUUAGACUUGAUUUGUUUUUUAAAUGGUCUAUCUUGAACAAACAUAUAAUGCAGAUCUGUCAUGGUGGAUAAUAUCCAUUUAAUGAAAGUUUGUGUUUUUAUUUAUCCAGUUUUGCAUUGCUUCCAUGAUUUGUAAGGAAGUUCUUGUAGUUUUCCAUGAAGUUUUGAAUGUUACUGCUCAUCUAAAAGGGUGUGCUGUUGCAGCCUGAUCGUGUUAUGGAGUUCUGCAACAACAAUGAUCUUCAGCUGAUUGUACGUGCACACGAAUGUGUGAUGGAUGGCUUUGAGCGAUUUGCGCAGGGACAUUUGAUUACUCUUUUCUCGGCCACCAAUUACUGUGGUAUGUUCCUGGCAUCUACCGAGAGUCUUUGCAUUUCACUGGCAGUUUAGCCUUUUUCUUAAGUUUGGUUUUUCUUUUGUUUCUACAGGUACAGCAAAUAAUGCUGGGGCAAUCUUAGUUUUGGGUAGAGACCUUGUGGUGGUUCCAAAACUUAUUCACCCAUUACCUCCAGCAAUUUCAUCGCCAGAAACAUCGCCUGAACGCCAUUUAGAAGAUACAUGGAUGCAGGUGCCGCUGCUUUUCUUUUCUCUUCUUUUUUUUUUUUUCCCCUCUAAGUUAUUCCUCUGAUGUGGGUUUCCUUGAUGUGACUUGUGCAAAAUGUUGUGGUAUAAUCCUGUUUGCUUUUUCUUUAUGAGAUCAGGAGCUUAAUGCUAACCGACCUCCGACUCCAACUAGAGGGCGUCCUCAAGUUACAAAUGAUAGGGGUUCUCUUGCUUGGAUUUAGUGGAUCAGUUAAGAUUGUUUCGGUAUACUGAUUUUCAGGCUCAUGCUGCCACCUGGGUUUCUGGUGUUCUGUAUAGAGCAUGAUGCCCAUAUACGGGAAUUCCCGAACUUGUGAUAUCUUAGUUCCUGAUGAAGCUGUGAAGACUGGUUUUCAGGACAUGAUGGAUGACAAUUUGAGUGUUGAAAACCAGGUUGCAGGCGGGGGUUAGGAGUGUAGUUCAUUCGAUGUGCUAAAAGUUGCAAUUUGGGUUCCCCCUCAACUUUGCCCUUUGUACAUUGAGCCACAGGCAGGUAGAAGUCACAAAGUGUUGGGUUGUUGGUUCUCCCAUCUGGGUUGCUAGUGCUGGGUAUUUUCUCAUUAGUUUUUUCUUAAUAUAAUGUUUUUUCUUUUUUCUUUUGGGUUCUUUCCUCGUUUUAGAGGGGGGCUAUUGUUUCUUCUUCCUUGUCAAAAGAGUAUAUGAGGUCUUCAGGUGAUGGGUGAGGAUAUAAAAUAUUAAAAAAGCGAAAACAAAAAAAAAAGAAUCUUUGUGGGCGUCCAUGUAUUAUAUAAGGUGUUGGUUUGUGUAAUUUUCAUUUAUGCUUUUUGUACAAUGUAACUUUCUGUGUGAAGAUAAAAAACGUUUUUGGCUGCUGAGGAACAUUAAAUUUGGAAUUUGUUCUAAAUCCACUUCAAUAUGCAUGCACUUUGCUAUGCGUAUUACACUUUUGUUGUUACUCUAUUAUUUAUUAUCUGAAAAGGUUUCCACAAGUCCUGACAUGCUUCUUGCUUGAUACAAUAUCAGACUCUUGAGAGCUCUUCAAACUGUUGUACCAGAGGCUUUUACGAAAAGGCCUCCAUUGGAUGUAGUGGCAGAAGGUGGAAGACAUUUAGUAUUUAGGGUAAAUUUCACUGAUCUUUAAGCAAAUUAAUGGUGGAUAUGUGCGAUUAGCCUAAACUCUAAGGGAGGUGAUUGAAAUUAACUAAUGCUCAUUCAUGAACGACUUCAUAGAAAGAAAUGGCAUGGCAUGUCCUGAAUAAGGGGCCACUUGGUUUUGCCCCAUCCAAUUAUCUUUGCAAACAUCAAUCACUUUUCUUUCAGUCUAAAAGCUGGGGUUCAAGAUGCUAUGUAAGUAAAGACGUAUCAACAAUCACAAUCCCAAAAAUUUUAAAGCUGGGGUUCACAAAAUUCAACCGCUUUACUGGUAACUAUUUCUAAUUUCCAAACAUGAAAAUGUUAAAGAAAAUCAGUCAAUGUUUGUUUCAUUAGAACUAAAGUGCGUUUGAUAGUGAUUUUGAGAAAUGCUUUUGAUCUUUGUAAUAUUUAAAUUUUUUAUGCAUUUGAUAAUGAUUUUGAAAAGUGUUUCUAACAUUUCUAAUAUUUGAAAAAUAAAACUUUCAAGUGUUAGAAAACCUAAAAACACUUCCCAUAAUUACUGUCAAACGUACUCUUAGUGAUCUAUUUAAAUUUGUGACAUGAGGCUUUAAUUAUCAAGCAAAAAAAAAGAAAAAGAAAGAAAAACUCCUAGCAGAAGUAACUGAUUCUUCAGGAGGCUAAAUUCCUAGACAUAAAUUUGUUAAAUGCAUUGUAUAAUCUCUCCUUAAUUGUCCUUGUCAAUAUCUUCCAUGGAGAGGAAUGUGAUUAAGUGAGGUAAAAGAGAACAAUAAAACUUAUUUUAUAGACACAACAUGGAUUGCUAAAAAAUCUUGUUUAUAGCUUUAGAGCAGAGCCCAUCCAAACGCAAAAAAUCAUGCCAGUUAACCUCGCUUCACUGGCCUUUGAACAUAGGAUUUGUUGGGGUCUUCUGUCUUCAGCUUUGGCGGUCGGAUCUCUCCUUUCUUACCCUGUAAAAAAGAAACCAAGGUUAAAAACCCUUGAACUAUGUUUACCAGGCCAUUCUUAUUUUGCUUCAUGCAUGAGAAAAUACAGUUCAGUUGUUUCCUCAAAGAAUGCAUCUAUAUCUGCAUCUCAUCACCUCACCUUCUUUCCAGUCUUCAUGAAAUCUCUCCAGCUGGAAACCUGGAGAUGCAAUGAAAAGGAAAAAUCAUAAUGAGUACAAAUAACUUUAGUUUUCCAUUUAUACUGAAGCUGCCAUUUCUAUAUGAUCAUACAACCAUAAAAAAUGGUAAUCAACCAAACAAAUUUUCCAACAUCAGAUUUAAUAUUUCCAUUCUGGAGUAAACUGGGUAAAAACCUCUAACAAGCUUUUAUCCAAUUAUCUUUUUUCCAUAUGCAAUAUUAUCCAUCUUGGUUGCUCCUUAAUGACUGCUAGGUUUUCCUCAUGGUUCACCGUUUCAGUGGAAAUGGCUAAGGCAAAAAGCAUUAUAUCUAACAAAAACAAGGUGCCAUGGGAGUACACAGGUAGUAUACAAAAGGGACCAAAGCGGCAUAUGAAUGAGAAAUAACAAAUAGACCCUCACCCCUUAUCUCUAAGCUAACCGAUCAACAAAAUCUAAUAAAGAGAAGGAUGACAGAUCAAUACACUUUCUAGACCAAAGAAGAGCACAAAGGAGUGAAUUUCUGGGAGUAUGAUCUACAUGCUCCUCAUUUUCAAACAAUUUGUGGUAUCUCUUUUGCCAUAUGGUUUAAAAUAAGCAUUAAGGAGUAAUUCUCCAAGCCUUUUUUUUUUCUUCAUUUUUUCUCCACAAAACUCUCAUGAACUUUUAGAAAUGUUGAUUUUCUUAGAUAUGAGAUCCCUUAAAAAUUGGAACAAGCAGGUAGAUAGGACUGUAUUUGUCUUUUUUUCAAUUCCCUUUCCUUAGGUAGGAUUGUAUGAGAUCCCUUAAUCAUUCUCCACAUUUGUAUAAUUAAUUACUUUUUUUAAAACAACUCUUACAAAAAAAGUGAAAAUAACUCAAAAAAAUUCUCUACAAACAUCAUGCUUUCUGUUUUUAAGAAUAAAAAACAGUUUUCUAUUUUCAAGUUGCCAAAUGUUUUUUCUUGUUCUUUUGUUCUGGAGAACAUAAAAUUGUUUUCAAAAUUAGUUACCAAAUAAGGUCUAGAUCACCACUUUUUAUUUCUUACUUUAUUUAUAAAUAAAUUUAAGAUACCUCUUUUUCUUUUUAUAUUUAGAUGUUAAAACAUAUUAUAAUGUACAUUUAUAUUAAUUCCUAAAUAGUUCCCUAAGACAACCAAAUGCUAGAAUAAGAAUAGAACUUAACAAUUCCAAGAACUCAUUUUCAUAAAUAUGAUUUCCUCCUUCUCUACAAAGAAACUAGGCUUUUAUUAUUAACCUCGGUGAUCUUUAGGGAAAUUUUCAUGGUGGUCAUUCUUCUAUUUAUCCUUAAGGAGUUGUUGGUUUGCAACAUGAAUAUGAAAAAUUUAGGGUUUGUUUGGUUGCUGUUUUCAAGAACUGUUUUUUGUUCUUGAAAACAAAAAACACUAAAAACAUGUUUGGGGUAAGGGGUGUGUUUUUGUUUUUUGUGUUUUCCGUGUUCUCAAAAACCACUUUUUUGAGAACAAUAAAAAAAUGUUUUCAUUGUUCAAAGAAUAGAUUGUUCUCUGUGUUUUCUUUUCCUUCUUUUUGUGUUUUCUUAGCUGCUUUUUGUUUUUCCACGAAGGUAGCUCCACCCAACCACCACACCCCCACCCGCAAGCUCUUUCUUCUUCCUUAAAUUAUUGAAAUUAAUAUACUUACACAUGGUUACAAAGUCAUCAUUUGUUUAAGAAAAUUAUGAUUGGUGUAAAAAUUUCAAAAUAGAAUAAUUUUUUUUAAUUUAAAUGCAUUGUGAAUAUAAAAAUUAUUUAUAUAUUUAUCGUAUCAAGUUAAUGGAAGAAAACACUUUAUUAAUUGAAAAAAAUAACUUUCAAAAAUGUUUUUUGUUUUACUUAUUCUAAAAAACUUUUUUAUUAACACGACCAAACAUGUUUUUUUUUUUUGUUUUUCAAAACAACAAUUGUUUUCCAAAAUUCAGUUACCAUACACAAAUUUUCUUUUUUCGAAACAAUGAAAAUUAUUCUUAAAAACUGUUUUCUAGAAUAGUUUUCAAAAACAACAACCAAACAGGCCCUUAGUUUCCUUGGAUAUGAAGUACCUCAAGAUUUGGAACAUCUCUUAUUCACGUAACAUUAGGUGUUUUUUAUUAGGAGAAAAUCCCUAUUUACGAGAACAAUAACAAACAAGAAACAGAAAAUAGAUAGAACACACACAAGAUUUAUAGUAGUGCACUCUCAAUGUGAGCCACAUCCACUUUGCUAUUGUAGAAUUUCCACUAUAAUUAGAAAUAAAAAUACAAGGUGAUCUCAAGCCUAACACCAGUCCUCUAUUUCACAUAUCCUCAUCCUAAAAAGGGUCACCCUAAUAAUCCCUUAUGUAAUGAGAAAAUUAGGGCAAACUAAUACAAGUGUAGAAUACCUAAAUACCCCUUAAAUAAAAAAUUAGGCUCCACACAACUAAACAUUUUUCAUUCCCACUCCUAUGAAAUAAAAAUAAAGGGAAAGUGGGCAACCCAUUUUUACUCAUUUCUUUAUUUAUGAAUAUUUAAUUUUUGUAAAAACUAUAUUAUUUGAAGGAUUGUUAUAUACAUUUGCAUUAAUUCCCAAGCAAUUUCUAGAUAGCCAAACACUAGCAUGGGAAUAAAACUCAAUUGCCAUCUCAAAUUUGCAAUGUUAACUAAAUAUUAGACUGAGAAUCUUGUAUCCAUUACAUCCUGAUUGCAUUUGGUUCUAUCUUAUUUCCAAGUACAAGAUUACAAUGUUUGGGACAUAGAUAGCUUUAAAAAUUUUUAUUUACUUGGAUAUGUGUAACCCUUAAAAUUAGAACGAUUUUUUACUAGGUAAGAUCAGGUAUUUCCUUUAUUCCCACUCACAGGGAAUAAAAAUAAAUGGAAAGAGAAAAGCUUCCUUUUAUUCCCCUAUUUAUAUAAAUAAAUAUAUUUUUUUAAAAUAAUAUUUGGAUGAGCAUUAUGUAAAUUCCCACCCAACUUCAAACCUAAGACAAGAACCUCAAAUUCCCAACUUCAAACCUAACAUUAGAAUAAAAAUCUCAUAUUCAUUACAUUUGAUGAACUCCUUUGUGGAAAUAUGAUUCCCUUUCUUGACUAGAUACAAGUGAGCCAAACAUACCCUAAAGGAUAUACACAUCCUCUUGACAAGUUUGCAUAAGUCUUGAGCUCUGAGGGCUUCAAAUUAGCUUGACAAAGUUCUACCUAAGUCCCAAACCUUCUAUCCUACAUCCUGCCUAAAGAAUCCUGUAUAAGGUUUGGAGUCCUAAGACGAGAAGAAGAAUUAUUUCAAUAAGCACACCUGAAACUCUAAACAAGUAACAAAAAGGGAACAUAUGUAUGAGGUAUCCAGCUCAGGCCCAAGUUUUAAAGCUGAGAUAGGUUACUUCAAGCUUUAACCUAUAAACAAGCCAGCCCAGCUUCAGGAAAAGCCCCAUUAGUUUGUCAAAGUAACAACUUGUUACUUGGGGAGAAAACCAUGAGACUUGGACUGCUAAGUCCAAGUCUAAUCAAAGUACAAACCAAGAUAGUUUUUUACCUUUCUCAGGGUUACUGAUAAGAAACUCAUAUCCAAUCUGUGCUAUGAGCUCUGCUUUGUGAAUUAGAUCUCCAUCCAUGAAUCCAAAUGUGCUACUAUCUGUCACAGACCACCUUCCUACACAUCUAUCUAUAAACCCAGGCCAUCUUCUAGUUUAUCUACAUGCAAAUGCCUAGUACACAGAGCCUAUUGAAAAACAACAAAAACCAAAAUGAUGCCACCCAUGAAUUCAAACAAUUGUUUAUCUUACUAUUUCUUUUAUUAUUGCAUCAACCCGAACCCCCUCAUCUUGGAAUAUGAGUUUCAUCUGAUCACGUUUGGGAAUUGGCAACCUUCUCUCAUGUUUUUGUUGCAACAUGUUUCCAUUUCUCUUUUGCUUCCUCAUGAGAAGUGUUGGUCCUAAAUCUCUUCGGCCUCUUCUUCUCUUAAGUCCUAUUUUAUUUUUUUCUUUCCUUUUCGUGUUGCACCCAAUAAACCUCAAUGGUCCCUUUGCAUGUUUGACCUCCACUUUGGUUUUUACACGCAAAAGCCUAAGAGAGAUUUCCUAACUUGAGAUCUUCAUAUCCCUUCGGUUUUUUAAUAACACAUCUCCAUCAUCCAUCAGAUCUCAAUUUUGAAUCAUAUAUUAUUAGAGCUUAUCAAAACAUCCAAUAGCUAGAGAGUAGCUAGGAGUGGAUAUUGGGCAACUUUCUAAAGCAUAAAUUUGGGUUAGAAACCAAAAAUAAGGGAACACCAUUAGAAGUUUCUUAGGGGGACAAGACCUAAUGAAACACAUUGCAUGUAUCAUAAAUCAGGAUGCUAUUGGGUUAGAAGAUAUGAAUAACCAACCCUUUGUUCUCUUGUUCCUUCCCACUGCUCCUCGUGCUCACGCUUUCUUUUCCACAUCUCUUUUGUGUCUUCUUCAUCUUUCUUCAAUCUACCUUCCUCUUCUGAUAUCUAAAGUACAUAACAAGAAGAAAAAUCAUGGCACAAUAGAGAUAAGAAGUCUGAAACAAGAAUAGCUAAAGAACAAAGAGGAAAUGAACAAGCUUCCAGCAUACCCUCAUCUGCAUUUUUCUCCGUCGCCAUUCUUGUUCUGUCAGUAGUUCUCGAACCUUCAAUUUUAGUUGUUUUUGGAACUCCUCUGAUCGUUCAUAUUCUUGUUCAUAUUUUCCCUGUACCAAAGAGAACCAAAUUUUAUAGUUUUCCAGACUCAUGAUAAAAACCUCAGGUUGGAAAGGACCAAUAAAAAGUUCAAUUCAAAAGGCAAGACAAGGUACAAUAGAAGAUGCAGAGUUAAAGAACAACAACACAAAUUACCAAUAUGUCAUCACUUUCCUUUUAAUCUUAUUUGAAGCACGAAACACACACACACACACACACACACACGUAUACAUAUACUUAGAUAGGCAAAGAAAGGUAUGUACAAUAUAAUAACAAAGAAGUACACCGAAGUAUACAAGAUGUAUACAAGAGGCACCUUAAAAAAAGGCCUCAAAAGAGAAGCCACAACAAAGCCUCCCUCAAUCUCAAGGAGAUCCCACCAAUCUACAAAAUAAAAUUAAGGCAUCGAUCCUUCUCUUAUGUACAUGCUAACCCAAGUUGAGAGAUUGCUAAGGAACAAAAGUUUUAACUUUUGGUCGGUCCCUUCCUCAUUUUCAAAUGCUCUUUGAUUUGGUUCCCACCAAAUUGUCCAAAAAAUGUAGAGAGGAGCGACUCUCAACACCUUCUUCCUUUUCCUCUUGACAAAGGAGUCAUACCAACUUAAAAGAGUUUCUUUCACCACAGAGGGAUCACCCAAACUACACCAAACAAGGAGAACAAAGGACGCAAUAGAAUCCUUGCCUUGAUACAGUGAAGUAGAAUAUGAUCCAUAGACAUCAUAUUCUAUGCCAUUGAAAUACCUAUCAAAAAAAAAUAAAAUUCUAUGCCAUAGAAUCCUUGCCUUAUUUACAACAGGAAAUAUGUAAUUGGGACACACGUUUCAAGGAAUCGACAGUGCAUGACAGUAAAGCUUUAAUCCUAUUCCAACUAGUAAGCUUCAUUUUUUGGAAAAUCCAUAGAGAUAAGCUGAGCAGUUAUGUAAUUCUGGCAAGCCUUACAAUUUAAUCUGUAAGAAGCAACAACCAGCCUCCACAAGCAAUAAGAAAAAGGAAUUGUUAACCUACCUCAAAAGGAGGUAGACUAAUGUUGUUCAAAGAAACUUUGUUCAGUCUACAUGUUUGUUUGAGCAACACAUUGGACAAAUUUCAGCAUGGCUUUCCCCAAGGGAGGUUUCAGAGGAGAACAAAAAGAUUCAUCCUUUUUAUUGGGGCACAGUUUGUUGUCCAAAGGAUUUGGGAAGUUCAGAGGUAAGGAAGUGGACUAUCCUUAACAAAGCUGUUCUAUGAAAAUGGCAUGAUAGAGGCAGCUUGUGGAAGAAGGUCAUGGGAGGCAAAUAUGGGGUUGGGACUGGUGAUUUGUGUACUUUUCUGGUGAGGAGCACACAUAGGAAGGGAUUAUGAGUGAAAAUGACUGGGUGGGAGGACUCCAAUUUUAUUUUAUUUCCAGUGGGAAAUGGAGCAAGAGUAAGUUUCUGGCAUGAUGUUUGGUGUGGAGUGGUCCCUCUUUUCAACAUUUCGAGAGUUCUUUUCUCUACUACUCAUGAUAGAGAGGCUUCAAUAGAGGGCAUUCAGAAAGGUUAGGUUUUUAAAACCCCAGCUUUCUAAAAAAAAAAAAAGAGAGAGUGCUCUUGAGUGGGAGUCAACACAUGGUGGAAGAUUUUUUGGAAGUGAUCCAUGGGGUUUAAGUUGGGAUGUCACAGACCUAAAUCUGGUCGGUUCCCAACUUCCAAUUCAGCUCUUACUCCGUUAUUUUAUUGCCUAGCAGAGGUGGCAUUAGAGUUUUAGAAGAACGUUUCCCCUCCUAGGGUGGCUUUGUUUGGACAAUCAUCUGGGAGAAAAUCCCAACUAUUGAUCAUCUGAAAUCUAGAGGAUGGAGCAUGGUUCAUUGGUGUUGUUUUUGUAAUGGGAAUGAAGAAUCAGUCAACCAUACUGUCUAUUGACUUGGGAGUGUAAUCAUUGGUCCUUGUGCUUCUCCAGAUUAAUUGGGUUCUUUUUAAGUCUUUUUAAAAGCUUUGGGUAAGGUAACUUCAUGAAGAACAGGAGAAAGGAGGGUCUGGAGGCUACCUUUUGUGGCUUAGUCAUAUGGAAGGAAAUGAACCUUAAAACCUUGGGAUUUGGAAACAUCUAGUAUCAAGAUCAAAGAGAUAAUGUUAAUGGUCCUGCAUGUGUGGAUAGAGGAUGGGUCUCCAGGUAGCAGGACUUCUUUUAUAGAGUUUGGUAGCAAUUUUGUAUAAGGUGCUUUGCAUUGUUUGUUGGUUAUGUUUUUUUCUCUAAAAUUUCCUUUCUCUGUCUCUCAUCUCUCUCUUUCACACACACACACAGAAAAAAAAUAAAAUUGAACUGCCUCAGUUUCAAACAUUUCCCUUCCUACCAAGAAAAAAGAAGAUAAGGGAAAAAAACCACAACAUUGUAUUAAUAAAUAGUAAAUAAGUUGAUGCAGGACAACUAAAUAUUGUAAAAUGCCAUUCAAAAUCAAAUAACAAUGUGCUAGGACUUCAGCUUUUAGGGUCCAUGGAGGGAAAGGUAGAAUUAAGGCUUUGUGGACAGAAUGUGGAGUGUUUAUGCUUUAAGAUCAAAUGUAUGCUGGAAUUGAAGAGAAAAUCUUGCUACAAUUUCUGGAUGGAAGGAAAAGUUACAGUUCUAGCGAGUGGACAGUGGACUGCAGCUAAAUAUUUUAGGGUACGUUACAGUUAGGGCAGGCCAAUUUCUCGUUAAAAAAUAUGCACAGUAGGAUACAAUUAUCAAAUAAAUAAAUUCCAGCAUGACAUGCCUGUAAGAAAAUAAAUUAUUUUGAAAGUGAAGGGCUUCAAUGUCACUACCGCCUGCAGUCAGAGAAGCAUAAUAUAUACUAAUUGGCAUGCGAUAAUCCAACAACCUGACCUCCCAACAGAAUUUCACAUGGAACCAUAAUCAAUCUCCAUGAAGUCAUAAUGUCUAAAAUUUUGUUAACAAGCAUAAGCUUUGUUUAUGUUGAGUGAUCUGGCUCCUCAAUAACAUAUUAAUUUCACAAGAUACAGAUUUAGGCAGAAAACUUCAGAAAGAUGCAGUUUAACAGUGAAUUAUUGGAUGCAUCAAGGUUGACCAGGAUGAAGAAUGCAAGAUAACCCUACAUUACCUCAUCAACUAAUGACUUUAUUUUAGAGGCAUUAUCUUUCUUUAGCUGCUUCUUCCUCAUUGCCCUAAGCUCUUCUGCAGUGCAUAUAAAAAAAUGAUGAGUCCAUUUUGUGUUAUAAGGAAUCUAUUAUUUGAACAGGUAAGAUCUAGAUGAAAAUUGAAGAUAUUAGAACUUUAGCACUGACCUUUUGCUGCAUUAACUUGGCUAAGAAGAUACUCUCUUUCUUGAGGAUCAAGUAAUAACUGCUGGGCCUUCGCUAAUGCUGCUUGCAAGUCAAUGGUAUGUUGUUAGAGAACAAUUACAUAGUAUAUAAAAUAAGAUAUAAAUUUUAACCUAGGACCCCUAGACUCCUAGUGCAUACUUAGAAUUGGCAUUCACAGUCUUCCAUUUGAAUCACACAAAACAGAGUCUUAUCAUACUGUCUACAGUUACCUUUUUGUUACAUAAAUAUCUGUCUGUUUGGAAAAUGAAGCUCUUUGUUACCAUCAAGGUUCCACAUAUUGGUAUUCCAGAAAUAUUGGUCAUCCAAAUAUUUAGAAAUAUCAACAAAAAAAGAUAUUGGAAAAUUCUUUAAAUAAAAGACUGGAGCAUUAUCAAAAACCAAAAACUUGAAACAAAACUUUAAGAGUUGUUAGUACAAACAAUGAUACAUUAAUUGGAACCAAAACAUUAUUAUACUAAUUUCACUAUGAAAAAGUGAGGUAUGGAGUGGGCAACUCUACAUGUUUCUAGAAUUUCUCCACCAAAGAGGUUAUUAGGGAACGAUUAUAGGUGUUUCGAGAAAGUAAAAUAAAAUAAAAUAUCUGUGCUGUAUUGUCACCAUGCCAUUAUAUUGGGGACGUCCAAUAUCCAAUAAUUUCAGCAAUAAUUUGCUGGCAUUGUCAAUUUUUCUGUUUUUGCUAAGAACAUUACAAAACAUGGUAUUCACAGUGCAAAUUAGAGAAAUACAACACAGACUACAGAAUAUGUAUGCACAUACCUAUGCAUGCAUGACAAAUAUGUAAUGGAUCAUGCAUGUGUGACAUGUGUAUACAGAAAAUAUAAAUAAAUAUGUAAACAGACACUAAUACGUGCAUAAGACUUUAUGCAUUUAAGCAUAUGAGGGCAAGCAUCUUCAUGGAGCAGAGAACAUCAUAACAUUGAAGUUCCAUUGGUAACAUAGAAUGUAUUGAAUGAUUAUACAGCACAUUCAAUUGGGACAAAGAGGAGAACCCACCUGAAUUGAUGAGCACAUACAGCUAGUACUGGUUUUAAGUCCAUUUUAUUUGUUAACUCAUGAAUGUGUUUAUUGUUCAAUUAAGAGGGACAUAAUACAUCAAGUCUAGAGUCCAAAUAAGAAAAAAGUGAUGUGCUAAUGCUACCAGAAAUUUUCUCAUGAUGUUUGAUACUCCUGCACAGCUUUGAAGCUACAUACCAAUCCACAAAGUCUCUAAAAAGUGCACAGUAAGUUGUGUAGAAACCACCCAGCAGUUUGCAGCCCAGAAGUCAAUCUGCCGCCCAGCAGAAGUUCUGCUUAGGUGUAAUGGAGAUCAGGCACCUGACCUUGAUUUGUGGCAUGAUAGAACCACCCUGGGAAUUGUGUUUGUGCAGUUUUUAUUGCACCAUUGUAAAACCAUGCACCUUCACAAACCACACCCCACCCUUACAUCACACCACCCACCAAACCCCUCCCAGAGGAAAUUCUGCAUGUGGGUGGCUCAUUUUUGGCAGAACUAUUUUUUCAGCAUUUUUGAAUCCCACUCAGGCAGGAUGUUUUGCUUCAAAAAAGGGCAAGAGAAUUUGUUUGAGGUUGUUUCAGCUUGGGACUAUGUUUCUGGUUGAUAGAGGUCCAUUUGAGUCAUGCAAUGUGUCAUUUCUCAAUCCCAAGGCGUGUUGCCUGUCUAUGCAUAACUUAGAGAUCAUUUCACAUACUUCUUUACAGUUCUAUACAUUUGGAUUAUUCGAAGAUCAAUUAAGAGAAAGGUCAUCUUUGAGAGUGCUCUUGUGCAUUAAUGCGAGAAAGAUACCAUCUGAGAGCUUAUCUAAGAGUGAAUUUGAGUUUGCAUUCAUGUCUUGAGAAGAUAAAGGAAGAAUUCAACUUAGCAUUAGGAAGAAUUCAACUUGGCAUUGGUUCGGAUUUGGAUCAGAAUAAGUAAUUCUUUAUCUACUUAGCUUUUGGGAGAAUUUCAAAGUGAAUCUGGAAUUGAUUAUUGGUGUGAAUCCAGAGAUUGUUGAUGUGACAUCAACAUUGAAGUGUGAGGCUUUAGGGUCAAAUAGACUUUGAAUCAGCUUGCUGUGAUGUCAAGUUUGGGAAAGAGCAAGAUUGGUUACAGUGAAGAGAUCACACGGAGAGUGAAGGUCAGAGAUUGAUCUUUAGAACUCAGAUUUGGUAAGUUGACUUGUGAAAUCUGAUAUGAUCUUAGUGGAUGUUGCCACAAACGCUCCUCUGGUUUAUGACCUCAAGAUGAGGUUUUCCAUGUAAAUUGAUCCAUCUCUUGGUUGUGCAAUUUCUGUUUAGAUUUCAGAAUAGAGAUGCAAUGAUCUCUCUAUUAUUUCAUCAAAGCAUGUCUGAAACAGAGGUUAAUAAUCAUAAUCUUUACAACAUGAAUUGAAUUGGUUCACCAAGUGUAAAUUAAAGUCCAAUCAGUUCUGACAGAGAUGUGAAUUGACAAAAAACGAUUUUGAAUUUGAAAAGAGCACACAUUCCACAAAAUUCCUGGUUUUAACACACUCAUUACAGGCUGCUUCCAUGUUGUAGCUUGUAAUAUGGGCUAUAAGUUGAAAGUCAAAGAGUUUACACCUCAACAGUGAGGAAUCUAGUAACUGGCUGCUCUAUUAUGUAAAUAGAAGUCAGCAUACUUUUUCUUUGAAUUGACUUAUCAAUGAGCUAUUGUUUAAGUGCGUAACUGCCUACUGUAAGACAUGAAAAGGUAAAAAAGAAAAACCACGGAUCCCAAGGUCUUUGCCUUUGUUGCCUUUUCUGGAGGCAGUCAUGGAAGCAACGUCCACCAGCAAUGUAGCUAAAUGAUGGAGUGGGUAUGAGGUUCUAGGGUUAAGGGCUAUGUCCUCAACUCUGUUUAUUUGAUGUGAGAGAGACAUAGAUGUAGGAAUAGGAUCCAUUCCCUCCACCAUUAGACAACUGUGCCCCAGAAAAAGUGUUUUCUUUUGUAUGGUAAGUGAUUGGGGUGGAGAUUUGGGAGGUUCUAGGUUCAGCUCUUAAAAAAGAAUAUUACCAACCAAAAAGAGUUGUUUCGUUUGUAUCAAUUAAUUUAACAUGCCAAGUGGGAAAGUUUUUUUUCCCUUCUCUUUCCUUUCCCUCCCCUACAGCACCAGAAAGGGGGAAAAAUGGAAAAGAAAUGAAAAGAAAAGAAAAAGACCAACCAGACAUGCAUACAAUGAAUAACAUACAUGUAGUCAAUGUGUCUGUAGACUAUUGUAUCAAUAUAUCACCAGAAGCCAAUGCACAAGCAAUAUAUGAUCAAAUAACAAAGGGCUUGACCCAUGAGUAUUCAUCAUGUUAAACUGUAAAGAGAAGUCCAAAUAAUUCCCAUUCAAAUCUUCAUGCAAGCGAACAUGUUAGAUGCAAGGCUUUCAUAUGUGCACUUUACAACAGCGACAAAAAGAACAAUAAAAGAAAUUGACACAAAAUAAAGUUGGUCUAAGCAAAUUCUCUGUCUAAAAUUUCUACAAAUUAUGCUACCUAAAGUAUUAUACAAACUCACUAAUCUAUGGCUUGUGAAUAUCUUAUUGGAACAAGAUUUGUCAAUUUACAUAUGCACAUACAGAUAUAGAAACAGAAACUACAUUGAUAAUUUUACCUCCGAAUGCUUCUUUAGCUUGUGGGUGCUUGCACUUGUCAGGGUGAACCAGCAAAGACAACUACAAUGUUUUAAGUAAAUAUAAAACAUUUCAACGAAUGGUUAGCCUAUGAAAUAAGCAAUGAUAAAAAGAUCCAAUUCCAUCAGGAUGAAGUGAUUACCUUACGGUAUUGCUUUUUCACAUCAUCUGGGGAAGAAUCAAAGGGGAUGUUAAGAUACUCAAAGGCAUUUAACUUGAAGCAUGCAAGAAUUCUGCAGUUGUUUUUGGAAUUUUAUCCAAGGAGAUAAAAAGAUGUGUUAGCAUAAAAAGAAAUUUUUUGAUGAAUUUAACAAAUUAAAAAAGCCUGCAAUUUUUAAAUAUGAAAUGAAUCUUCUAGGAAACAGGAUAAAAGGGCUCUUUCACCUCAAAAUGCUAAAUUUCCCAAGGUCUAAACAUGAAUACCAUAUGAUUGCAAAGCUAUACUCAGAAUGUUAAUUGCUUUGUAUAUCAAUGAUUGAAAAUAUCAGAGGAUACUAAUGCAUAUCAGUGAUAAGGCUAGAUGGACUCAAUAGGGAUACAAGUCUGUCAUCAAAACUCACAUGGAUUGAUAACAGUUUAUGCAGGAUGUCUUGUCAUUUUACAGCACAGAUAGUUGAUACAAACACAUCACAAGUUAUCACAAAUUCUUACAGUCCCUCUUCUGCAUUCUUCUCAUUUCACAUUUAUAUAUUUGAAUAUGGAGUUUAAGGGUUGGAAGAUAAAUUGGUUCAUGCCCUAGAUUUGAAUGGGGAGGAAUUAGAAUUUAAGUUGUUGAAUUUUUUGGGAAGAUGCAUGCUGAAGAUUAUUGGAAUUGGGAAGCAAGUUUAGAGAAUUACUUUGAGUGAAAACCUAUGGCCCAAGAUUGAAAGGUUUGGUUUGUAAAGCUUAAGUUGAAGGGCAUUGCACUUAAAUGUCGGAGGAAAGUUGAAGAGCAACAUAUGUGAAUAGGAAAACUAAAAAUCAGUACAACAAAACACAUAGAAGCAAAGAUUCAAAAGCAAUUCCUACCAAUGGAAUAUGCUAUGCUGUUGUAUGAGUGGCUCCCUUCAUUCAAACAAAAAGGCAUGUCAGUCAUUGAAUACACUUUCAUGUUUAAUAAUCUCUCUAUUUUGGUUGGAUUAAAUAAGAGGAAUGAAGAAAUGACAUCUUAUCACCUUGUGGUCUUGAAUUUGUCGAUUAGAAAUGAGAUUGAGGUGGUUCAUUGGUUCAACUUAGAUGUUGUUCAAAAUAUGCCUUAAUGGCUGAAAAGAAGGUAUGAUGCUAUGGUGCAGGAAAACCUAUAUCCCAAGUGCUUUGAUGGUGUGUCGCAUAGGAAUAUAGUUGCUGCCCAGGGUUUUUGAAGUGAUCAAACAGCUAAAAAUAAUGAGCAGGUGUCUACCAUAACUAGUUAGAUCAGUGAUAGUGGUACCCAUAUUGAUCAGGGUGGAAAAGGGAAAGAAAUACAUAGGUUCAAAAUGCAAAACAACCUUACUGAAAGCUCAUCAAAAUUAGGCAUCAUGUCACAAACUUGUUUCACUGGUGGAGAAAAAGAAAGCACAUUUUAUGCAUAUCCACAAAGGUGGGUAAAUCUAACGCAAUAUGAAGGUGAGAAAGAGAAGUUACUAGAGCAAAUAUAUGAUGAAUAUGAUGAACAAGAAGUCAUUGACAGUUUUCUAUUGAAAGAGGAAUCCUUGAUGGUGGUGCAUUGAGUAAUGAUAACAGAAAAAUUAAAGAAGAUUAGAGAGGACUUGAUAUGUUUCCCACAUGUGUUGCCUGUGGUAGUAAGGUGUGCAAUGCUAUUUUUGAUGGUGAUAGUAGUAAGAAUAUUAUUUCCAUAGAGGUUGUCAAAAUGUUGAAGUUGCCCUUUGAACAAAAUCUUACCCCGUUUUGAAAGAACAAAGUGCCAGUUACAUGCUUGGUGUACCUUUGCCAAAUCCACCAUAUAGAAUGCCACUAGCACAUUGAACAAAGAUGCAAAGGCAAGUGGAAGACUUAAUUGCAAAGAGUUUAAUACAAGAGAGCAAGAGUCCUUGUGCUGCUCCUGCCUUGCUCUCAUGGUGUAUGUGUGGACAGUCUUAUCAUAAACAAGACCCUAGUUAAGCACCAGUUUCCAAUGCCAUGUUUGGAUGAUGUGCUUAAUACUAGGUUUUUUUUGUUUUUUUUUUUUAACAGAACUAAUACUGGUUUGUUAGGAAGUGUUGAACUUGACAACUUAGAAGAGGGAGUUCACGUAUAGCUUAAUUAUUCUUUAGAGAAGUGGUGGGGCUGCAUGGCCUUCUAAACUUUUAUUGUUUCUGAUAAGAUAUGAAGUUCAUAAGACAUGUUUAGAAAACUUUGCGGCAAAAGCUUGGAGCUCAUUUGAAAUAUUCUAGCACAUGCCAUAUAUUUGGACAAAGUAAAGUAGUCAAUCAUGGCUUGGGUAACAUGUUAACUUGUCUUGUUGGAAAUCAUGUGAAGGCUUCAAAUUCUAUCACACUGCAAGCAAAAUUUGCCUACAAUAAUUCAAUAAAUAGGACAAUGAAAAAGACACUAUUUAUGGUGGCUUAUGGUCUCUAACUUCAGCAUGUGCUUGACUUAGUUCCAUUACCAAAGAGGGUAGAGUAAGUGAAGAGAGAAGGCUUUUGCCGACCAUAUAAGACAAAUUCAUGAAGGAUUUAGGGCUGCCAUCAAGGCUGGCAAUGAAUUAUAUGCAAUGGAAGAGAAUUUACAUUGAUGGGCCGGCCAAGUAUUUAAAGAAGGGGACAAGGUACUAGUUUACUUGAGGCAAGAAAGAUUUCUUGACAGUACUUAUGACAAACUCAAGUCAUAGAAGUAUGGAUCACGUAAGGUUGUGAAUAAGAUCACAUCAAAUGUAUACUUGAUAGAGUUGCCACCAAAAUUGGCAAAUCAAUCUAAUCUUCAAUUUCUGACUUACAUUCAUAUGAAGAGUUUCAUGGAGAGGAAAUCCUAACCAAAGUCCAAAUAGAUCAACUUUCUAAACGGCCACUGGAUGUUAUCGAAGAAUUUUUAGAUAUCAAGGUGGUGAAGUCAAGAAGAUGUAACAAACAUAAGCAAUUUUUAGUGAAGUGGUUGGGCAAAUAGCUAGAGUGGAUUGCAUUUGAAGUGUUGAGAAAGAUUGAUUAUGUGAUAAAUGCUGAAAUGGCAAAAGUUUCCCUGUUGGAGCCGAGUUUUUCCCUAUUUGAAGAAUUGAUGCAAGAGCAUUAAGGCCAUACCACCUUAGUUUAAUAAAGAUAGCUUGGAUUACAAUUAGCAAUUCACUUAGAUAAGGGUUCCAUAUAUUAAGGUUUUCUAUUCUUGGCAAGUGGAAUUGGAGAUUUGCUAUAGAAAGGGAUCCCUUAUGGAAACAAAUUAUAAUAGGGAAGUAUGGUGAGAAAGGAUGGAGGGGUGGGGGGGGGGGGGCGCGGGGGUGUGGAAAGCCAUUAGACAUGAAUGGAAGGAGAUACAAAGUAGGUCUUACUUUUUACUUGGGAAUGGAAGAAGGUAAAUUUUGAAAAGACUUGUGGUGUGAAGAUGAAACCUUGGAAGAAGCCUUUCCAAAUUUAUUCUCCAUGGCCUCCAACAAAGGGGGAUGAGUGGCAGAUGCUUGGGAGUUGAAAGGUGAAGAGGGUGGCUAGGGUCUUCGUUUCUCUAGGCAGUUUAACGAUUAGGAAAUGGCAGAAGUGGAAAGUUUCUUUCAGAAAUUAAAUUCAAUGGUAAUCUAAAGGGAAGUGGAGGACAAUCUGAGGUGGAAUGAAUCCAAAUGUGACAAGUAUUCGGUUAGAUAUCUCUAUUCCUCCCUUUUUGGGGGUCAUAAUGUGCCUUUUCUAGCUAGCAUUGUAUGGAAGGCUUGGGCACCUUUGAAGGCCAACUUUUUUGCUUGGGAAGCAUCUUGGGGAAGAAUCCUUACUGUCAACCAGCUCAAAAGAAGGGGAAGGUCUUUCCCGAGUAGGUGUUACUUGUGCAAAGGUACGGAGAAAACGACAGACCACUUGCUCCUUCAUUGCUCCAAAGCAAGAAUGGUGAGGCAUCUCAUUUUCUCUCUUUUUGGGGUGGAGUAGAUUAUGCAUUCUUCGAUUAGAGGGCACUUGUUGGGUUGACAUGACUCUUUUGUGGGGAAAAAGCAGAAAAAAGCAUGGAGGGCCGCUCCAAUUAGUUUGAUGUAGACUCUUUGGAAGGACAGAAACAUAAGGGUGUUUAAUGAUGUUUAGUAGUUUGACCAAGCUAUCAAAUCUGUUUUUUUAUUUUUUAUUUUAUUUAUUUUUUAUUUAUUUUUUAUACUUUUAGGAUUUGGGCUAGGGUGUAUGUAGAGGAUCACACAAUGUCAUUAUUAGAUUUCUUAGAUUGGUUUAGCUUAAAUAAGAAAGGAGGCCUUUUGUUCCUUUCCCUGGUCACUACUAGGCCUUUUUUUGUAUACCUUGUGUGUACUAACUUGCUAUGCCUCCUUUUAUUAAUACAUAUUUUCUUGUUUGCCUAUCA
rnacentral:lncRNA from 1 species